rnacentral:lncRNA from 1 species
UUGUCUUUUUUUUUUUUUUUUUUUUUUUUUUUUUUUUUGUAGUAACCUAUCAUUAAUCUAUGCUCGAAAUAUAAGUUGGUCUUUAUAUUAAUUAUAUAAAUAUAAUAAUAAUAAGAUUAACGAUAUUACUAUUAUAUAAAGGAAAAAGUGGAAGUGAUGGAUGGGUGUUUGUAUUAUUAGGUAAGGCCAGGAGAGUAGUUUACAUAACAUCUGAAGCGGGUGAAAAGAAUUAAAUAUGGAGCUUACGUAUAAUUGAACAUACACAACUGUAAUUGAACAUAGAAGAAUGGAUGAGUUGGAUGCAUAAAUAUAGGAGAAAAAAAAAGAAAAAAAAAGAGUUGGAAGUAAUAGAUGUAAAAGCUCACCGUCGUGAAUAGAAAAGAGUUGUAAUGGCUUUUAUAAAUUAUUUAACACCCCUCGUUAUAUUAAGGAAUUCUGCUAGUAAUAUUAGAACUACUAACCCAAUCAAGGUAGCUAGCAUUGAAAUGUUGAUCAUGUAUAAUGUCGGUUUGAAACCGACAUUAAAGAAAACCAACAUUGAAAACCUUUAAUAACACGAUCUUCAAUGUUAGUUUUCAACCGACAUUGUACCUCUAUAAAGUCAAUUUCAAACUGACAUUAAAACCCAUUUUUAGCAGUGGUAGACCAUAUCCAUGAUCAUCUAUAUAUCACUAAUAAAUCAGCAAUAAAAUUCUAUGAUCGAUAGACUUUGCUAUAUUUUCAUUUUUUUAAAUGUCAUUAUACAAAAUUGGUUAUUAUCCUUAAACCUCUUACUCUUUACAAUUAGAAAAUUUAUGACAAAUAACACAAUCUAAAAAAUUAAUUACAAAUAUAGAAACAAAGAUAAAAUGUUUGAAAUAACAAAUGUUGACUAGUCGACUAGUAGAUUUUUUAAAAUGUCAAGUUUUCGCUUUGAACAAUUAUCAUUGAUAAAAGCUAUUAUUAAUAGCUACUAUCGAUGACAACAACUGAUAGCACGUGUUUUUUAGUGAAAACUAGGGAUCAUGACAACUAUUUAUAUAUAAUUAUAUAUGUAUAAAGGAUGAUAGCUAUUAAUGAUGACUCUUAUCCUUCCUCCUUGUACUAUAUAUAUACACACAAUUAUUGGUGGUUUAAAUGUCAUUAAUGCCCUCCUUUUAUUAUUAUUAUUUUUUCUUCUCUUGCUUUUAACUUUUUUUCCUUUUUUCCUUUUUGCCUUUUAAUUCUUACUUUUUGUAUUUCUUUUUAUUUAAAAAUGAAACGGCAAUUAGAGACUGUCUCCAACAAAAUUUGUUCUUUUUUUCCCUAAACCAAACAAUUCAAUCUCUCUCAUAUUUUCUGUAUAUUCUUUAAAUUAAACCUUUUUUUUCCAAGGAUAAAUCAACUGUUUUUUAUAUUUAAAAAGUCUUUAGACAUAAUAAUAUCAAAUUGAAAGUGAGAACAUGAAUGACUGAGUAAAAAAAAUCAAAGUAAUGCAACAUAGAAAAUGACCAAAAAAAAAAUUAUUGAGAGGAAAUGUAUAAUAUCCUUAAAUUAAUUAGUAUAAAAAGAGACGACUUUGAAGUCAACCAUUCUUUUUCUACCUCUCCAACAAAUUCAACUUACAUCUUUGUUGAAAAAAGAAGUUGUGUCUUAAGUUUUAGAUGAAGCAUAGACAUAUGUGGGUAGAUCUUGUUUUUUCCUUUUUAUAGCAAUUUUAGAAAUAAUAAUUAAGUUGUUUAAAAAAUUGUAAAUAUACCAAAAUGUAUUGAUAGACUUUUUUGAUCUAUUAGUGAUAGUUCAAUAUUUGCGAUUUGAUCUAUCAAUAAUAACUUUUAUUAAAAAAUAAGACAUCCUAAAAAUCCCUCUAAUUAAAAUAAAUAUUAAAAACUUUGGAUGUGAGAAACAUAGAAAAUCGCAACAUUACAUUUAAGAAAAAAAAAGUGGGAGAUAUUAACAAAGACUUGGAUGACCCACAGUGAUUAUUGAUCGACGAGAAUGUGAAUAGACAAUAAGAAAAAACCAAAUUAUUAAAAUGAUAAUGAUACAAAUGAAAUUUAAUUCUCACCUAAGGUCCACUAAAUUAUUCUUUUCACAAAGUGAUCAUCAGCCCAUUCCCAUACUCUCACCUAACGUGCAAUAAAGAAUUCCCCCUAUUCAAUAUAUUUUUAAUGUGCUUUUUUUUGUUGUAUUCGAUACUUAUGUUACAUUUAAUAUUCUUAUAUAGCUUGGACAAUAUACAUUUUUUUUUUCUCCUCAAGUUAAUCUUGAUAAGACCCUAAACAAACAAACAAAUAAAGUGAAAUAAGUAAAUUGUUUUUCUUUUAACAAGGUACUAGAGGUAGGGAUUAAAAAAAUGCACCAGAAGACUUCAAUCAAGUUGACACUUUCUUGUUUUUUCUGAAAACAAAUAACUAAGCUUGUGGAGUGUGUAGACUCACGUAGGCAUCUCAACUAAGUUCAUCAUCCAAAAGCAUUGUACUGAUGAAAUCAGAUGGUACAAAGGAGAUAGAGAGAAACUUGAGAACAAACAAUACAAGCAGGGAUAGGUUAGAGGAAAGCUUUCUUAUUGAGCGCAAAGGGUGUACUCUUUGUUUAUUUAAAGGCAUUGCUUGUGGACUCAAAUGUGAAAGGAGAAACGAUAAAACAUAUAAGGAUGUAAUCUAUAAAAAAAGAAGAAAAAAAUGCAUUAGUAUCACAAUUGUUAAAAGGUUGCUUUUGAAGAAAUGAAACCAAAUGUUUUUCAUUAGUACUUAAAUUUGCAUUUUUUUUUUUUCUAAGUGUUGGAUUUCCUUCUUCUUUCUUCUCUAAUUUUUGUAAAAUAAGCUUCGUCCACCAUUUGAGAUGGCUUAAGGAGGAAUUGGGAGCAAAGUGAGGAAUAAAAAUCGUUUAGUCCCAGAGAAGUAGCAUUAGUUUAUGUUCUUUUUAUGCGCUCAAUUUUCUCCACAAGUGCAAUAGUAAAGGAAGACUGCAGAGGCGAAUUAGUACAGGUUGAAGAAGCUGCUUCAUUCCAUAAUGCCAUGAGAUUUUUAAAAUAUAUUUUACUUUUCAAUCCAGAAAACAAAAUAAUUUACCAAACAUAUAUAUGAUUUUUGUUUUUAAUAGUUAGCUUAGUCUCUAAUCAGAACAAUUUGGCUAGAUUAACUCAUGUGCUCCAGGACUUCGACCCGAACUUCCAUUAGGACUAGCUCUUAGAUUGUAACUAAUUAAGUGUAACAUUUUUUUUCAUGUUUGAAUAAACCUUUAUUAUAUAUUCUUCUUCUCCUCAAUAAAACACUAAUUAAAUUAAUAAAUGAAGCUAAUUGUUAUUUUUAAUCGGAUACUAGAGAGAGGGAUCAGACCAUUUCAACAUACCUGAAACCCAAAAGUGAUGCAUUAAAAUAUACCAAGAGUUUACAAGUAUUGAUAUUCUGGAGGAUCUAGAGAAAAAGCUCAAACAACGGAGGAGGAAUGAUGAAACACAUAAGAAUACAAUUCAACCAAAAGAAGAAAAAAGAAAAAAAUAAGCAUUAUCAUCACCAUUGUUGAUGAACAAGGCAACAUGUUUAUUUUGAUCAUUACUACAUAAUAUUCUUUUUGGCCAUUUUGGAUUUCCUAGUUUUUUCUUCUAGAAUUAUGAGAGAAUAAGCUUGGUCCACCGUUGGAGAUGGCCUCUCAAGAAGGAUUUGGGAGCAAAGUGAGGAAUAAGAAUCGUUUAGUCCCAAAAGAAAUUGCAUUAGUUUUUCUCUUUCCAUGAGCCCACUCUGCUCCACAGUUGUAUUAUUGGAUGAAGAUUGAGGGGAAUUAGUGUGGAUUGAAGAAGCUGCAGCUUCAUCCCAUAAUGCCUUGAGGUUUUUAAAGUAAGAUUUAAUGGAUGUGUUUCCUUGACGAUGAGAUGCAAUCACCCCGUAAAUUUUAAAUAACAUUGUUGCAGCAUUGCUUUCAGAAUUAUGUUGUUGUUCAAUAAUUGUAUCUGAACUCACUGUUUUGUGUAUCGAUCUUGAUUGAUGGACGUUAUUCGCAACAUCGUUCACUACAGAACAUUUUCAAUAAAAUUGGUUAAGAAUUUAAUGUUUGCAUAUGAAAUAUGGAAUUCUUUUAAACAAAAUACUGCACAAAGAUAUAGCAGGUGUGUUAACACAUCUUUACCAUCACCACACAUAAUCCAGAUUCAAAAGAAAUUGCAUUGAUCAAAUCAAGAGUUAUAAAAAGGAUGACCAAGAUAGAAGCUUGAUAAACAAAUUUUGAGUAAGAAAUAUGAAAAUAAGAAAUUGUGUGAAUGAACAUCAUUUUCAAAAAUAAGACCAUACGCACAAAAUGGACACAAAACAAAUUUAAUUUUUCGUUUUUGAAAGGUUAUCUUUGUUUUCUUACAACGAUUUCUUUACCAGGAUUAAUAUAAUCCACACUAAGUUCUAAAACUAAAAAAGUUUAGCCGACGGCUAAACAUUGGUUCUACUCACAAUUAAGUAAAAAGAAAUUCAAGAACAUCACCCAACUUAGGAUUCCUCAAAGUCAAACACACUUUUAGAGUUCUUAGUCAUAAAAAAUGCAGCUUAUUAAUAUAACUAGCAGCUAUUAUAUUUUUUCUAAGGCUUUCUAAAUCUUAGUAUUCUUGUAAUCUCCAGUAUGAUUUAGAUGUGAUCUAAGUUAUUCAUGUAUUUAACUCUAAUUCAAGUGUUACAAUAACCACAUUAAAAAGUUCGACAAGAACCAGACAUAAAUAAUAUCAAAAACAUAAAACUAAAGAUGAAGAGCUUUGUUUGGUAACACUAUCUUCUGUUUUUUAAAGUUAGCUUUAAAAAAGGUGCAUUAUUUGGUAACUAAUUAACUUUUUGGUUUUUCUUAAACAAGAAGCUUCUUUCUAAAAUUAUGAAGAAAAAUUGAAAACAAACAAAAUUGCUUUCAAAUAUCUAUAUAUGCUUAUUGUUUUUAAUAAACAAAAAUUUAAAAACAGAAAAAAAGUUGAAAUAAUUACGAAGCUGUUAUAUGAAUAAGAGAUCUAAACUAAACUUUCUAACUUGGUGUGUUAACGUAGAUGUAUGAAUUUAAAAAAAAAAAAUGCUUGAAGUAAUAUAUGUAAAAGCUCACCGUCGUGAAUAGAAAGUUGUUGUAAUGGACUUUGAAGAAGAUGAUCACGAGUUUUGGCAGGGCUGGGAGAAUGAUUUGGAGAAUAAUCAGAAUUCUUUUUAUGACUCGAACCCGAACCAGAACCAUCCUUACGAGAGCCACUCCCACCUGCUUUGCCUUUCUUGGUUGAAGGCGAAGGUUGACUUGCUGAUUUAGUUGUGCGCCGAUUGGAUGUGGUACUGGGAAUUUCUGACUGAAUGGUUAAUUCAGGGGCAGAUGUGCUGCCAGGAAGAUGGGCGGGUGGCGUCUUUUUGGGUUUAGAUCUUCUCGGACUGAUAAUCCCUCUCGGUUCCAUUUUCGAUUUGCAACCUUAAGCUUUCUUUCUGAUGUGGUGUGAGAAACUAACUUUGGGGAUUUAAGAUGGGAAAUAAAAAAGGUAAUUUCUCAGAUCAAGCCAAUGCUUGUUGCGUUCAUGAUGAUAAAGACAAAAACAAUUAAUUAAUUAAAAACAAUAGUGAUAAAGGAAAUUUAGGGAAAGGAGAUAGUGGACCCCUGUGUGUUUGAAUGUGUCAUGUGGCAUGACAUUGGGUUUGAAGAAAAAUAAGAAAAAAGGAAAGAGACACCAAACAAAAGAAGAAGAAAGGUGUGGAUCAAUUUCCAGUCUUUUUAAAAGGAUUUGGGGGAAGUCCUUUACUUGGGUAAGUUGGGUUAUAUAUGUAAGGAUUUGGAUUGUUGAGUUCAUUCAUGAAUUUUACUAUAAACAUUUCUCUUUAGUUACUGUAAAAAAUUAAGAAACGUUAUUAUCAAUUUAAGUAAAUUUCUAUCAAAUAUAUGGUCCAUCAAAAGUCAAAUCUUCUCCUUUUUAUCAUUUUUCUUGUUAUGUAUCAUCCUAAUUGAGAUAUGUGGAUUGACCAGCUUUUGUUACACUAGAUUCCUGCUAGAAAAACAAAAUCAUUGAUAAAUAAAAUGGUAGAAGAUCAAAAGUGGGUCUUGCACAAGUUCUAAAUGACAAACAUCGCAACUUGAUCGUAACCAACAACCUCAGAAAAAACAAUAUUGGAUCCUCAAUGGGCUAAAUAGCUAAUGAUAACGGUACUUUAUUUACUUCAACUGUGAUAGAUUCAUUAUCGUGUUGGAACCAUGUAAUGAACAUUCACAAAUAAAUAAUCAACAAAAGAAUAUUGGAGAGAAGAAAACACUUGUUUGGAAGACUGUUCAAAUUGAACUCCCUCUUCUUCGUGUAUAUUCUUCUUCACACUUGGUUGCUUCAACGUUACAAAUACCAAACCUGUUGAUAGGAUUUUCUAAAUCUAUAACUUCACAUCAUAAUUAAAUACCUGUCAAAAUUAAAUUCCAAUAUAUAUAUUGUUAAUUCAACAGUGUAUAUAACUCUUACCAACUCUUAUCAAUAUAUUUAAUAUAUAACUUUCAAAUGUCUUAAUUUUGUGUGUAAUUCAAUUCCAAUUAAAAUAUGCUUUAACAUUCAACAGUUAUGGCAUGUCCAUAAACAUCUUAGAAAAACAAUGAAGAUAGAGAAAUUCGCAUUAUGUGUGUGGUCACUGCUGCAAUGAUCAAUGGAAUCUUCACUUUUUGUUUUAUGAGAUGCAAUAAAGAAGGGUCGUACUGAAAGCCUUGCAUCAGUGCGAAGCUUGGUAUUUUUCCAUCAUAUGCAAAGGCUUGGCAUGAGUCCUUUAGUUUGUUUUGAGAAGGUUAGUUAGUAAGUGCAACUGAGUGGGCACAAUAUGAGUUAUUUAAUUAGAGUUAAUUUUAUAUUAGGAAGACUUGUAUAAAGAUUAACUUUGUCAUUUAGUUAUUUAGAUUUUUUAUUUUUAAAAAAGGAUACUCAGCAUCGUCAAUGAUUAUAUUCAAAAUAGAGCUUGGAGGAGAUUGAUUAAGUUUACGAGAAGGCUAGAGAUAAGCCAAAACUAUAAACCAUACAAAAACUAUCAAACAACUAAACUAGCAAAAAACACUGAGGUGUUGUGCAACUAUAGAAGCUGAGUAAUUAUUGAAAAGCUUGGUUUUUGUAGACUAUUGGGCUGUGAGAUUGCAGAUGUUUUUCCAAAGGUAGGUAUAUGAGUGUGAUAAGUUGUUGAAUAGUUUGGUGUUUCUUUCCAACCAAAUGGACCAAAUGAUGGCAAUCAGUAGAUUGAAGAUAAUCACCCCUCUUUGUGUCUUUAUGUUGUUUGAGCAGAUCGAAUUUAUAAGCACGGGGAGGUUAUCAUCAAUGAGAUCAUAAUUUAAUUGAUUUUUGGUCGUGUUCCAAAUGUUUCUGCUGUAUGGACAGAGGAGGAAUAUGUGGUCGGUUGUUUCAUUGCUUUUCUUACAAAGUACGCACUAGUUUGGGUUGAGACAAAGAUUUUCCAGUCUCCUUUGAAUCUUUUCCAUCGUGAAAAUUUCAUUGUAUGUGGCUGUCCAGAUGAAGAAUUUGCAUUUCUUUGGAACUUUGAACUUCCAUAAUUUCUUGAGAAGAGCUGCAAAGUUUGAAUUUCUAGCAUUUUGAGCAUUUGUUUGUAACAGAGACUUAACAGAGAAGGAGUCAUCGUUGCUUGGAAUCCAGAUCAGUGGAUCUUUUUGGAUGUUGUCUGUGAGAGGAGGUAGGCUGCUCUGUAUAGUUCUCCACUGUAAGGCUUCUCUAUCUCUAAGAGGUCUUCUGCUAUGUAUAUCCCAUGUUUUAUUGUUGACAUUCUACAUCUCUCUAACAUAACUAUUUUGCUUUGAGGAGAAAGCAUAUAGUCUUGGGAAUGAUUUGCUUAGUACACCCUUCGUGCUCCAAUUGCUAUGCCAGAAGGAUAAAGAGUUGUCAUUAUUAACUUUCCACUUCAUCCUUGAGUUGAGCCAAUCAACGAAUUUGCAGAUGAAUCUCCAUGGAGCAUUCGAGCUACUGUAUUUAGCAAUUGUAGGAAACAUAUCCAUAUUCCUACAAUAGUAUUUAAUAAAAUAGACGAUUGGCAGCCCAUAUUGUUGUGUCCCCUACUAAUUAAUAUGAUCUAAUAUUAACUAAUUUUUCUUCUUUAUUUUUGAAGUUGUAAAUAAGUGUCUUCUUUGUCUGCAAAGUCAAUCCCACCCCGAUGAGAGUAUAUCGAAAACAUAUCCCGUCUUAUUGCACAAUUUGACUUUUUGUAAGAGAAACAUAAAUGGGUUGAUAGUUGUAUACAUCUCAACUAGGUUGGCACUCUUUUAACACACAAUUUAACAUUUAAACACAUGCAUACAUUGUAUCAAACUAUAAAUAACAAGUAAAAGAAACAGACGGUCUUUUGACACAAACUAAUAUCAUAUAUCACAAAUAAACACUAGGGGUGAAAUCGGGUUGGGUUGGGAGACAUUCUCAACCCAACCCAUAUUUUCGGGUUGUUUGGGAUGACAACCUGAAUUUAGUUUUUAACCCAACCCAAUCUGUAAAAUAUGGGUUGGGUUGUCGGAUUGUAAAUAUAAAUAUUGUUUUAAAUUUUUUUUUUCGUUUUCUAGUUUCUAAUGGUUAUAAAAGUUUGAAAUUGUUACAUUUAAAUUUCAAACAUACAUACAAUAAAUUCAAAAUUUAUAUACCUCUAAUUUGUUUUUUAUUAAAAUAAUAUAUACUUCUAAUUUAUUUAUUUGUAUAUUAUAUUAAUUUAGAUUGUGUUAGGUUGAACCGAAUUUUUCAACCCUCCAACCCGAGACCCAACCCAACUCGAAAAACUAAAAAAAGUUUAACCCAACCCAACCCAUAUUUUAACCUAACUCAACCCAUAUUUUAACCUAACCCUUAUAAUAUGGGUUGGGUAGUCUGGGUUAUUCGAGUUCAACUCAUAUUUGUACACCCCUAAUAAACACUAAUAAACACUAAUAAACUUUGAUAGUAGUCUAUCAAUGUCUAUAGCUGAUAAAAAGUGACAUUUUGUUAUAUUUAUAAAUAUUUUAAGAUCAAGUUUUGACAUUUAAAACAAUAGAUUCUUUUUUCUUUUGAAAAGGAGACAAAGUGGUCGGUAGUACUUUCAAUGAUCCCAAGAACGGAUAUCUACGAUAACAAGACACUAAUUUUAUUAAUGGACAAUAAACGUAGUUACAAAGAGACGGGCUUAGAUGAGAAGAGCUUUUAAAGUUUAGAGCAAUAGUACAUGUCCUGUAAUCCUUGAAAAGAGGGUGUGUACUACACCACAUUUAAAACAAUAGGUUAUGUUAGCUUCUUAUUGUAUUUGGAUAUGAUGAGCCUUCCCUGAAUUUGAUCCGAACUUCCACACGAACUAGCUGUUAGUUUGUAACUAAGUUAAAUAUUGUGGGCGAAAAAAUCCAUUUAAAGGACGGUUAAUUAGAGAUUAACCAUUUAUAUCCAGAUUCAUAGUGGUAAACGCUAUUUUAUUGAAAUUGUUUACUUGAAAAAUAAUUUCAACAAAUAAUUAAACAGAGAAACAAUUCCUUAGGCGAAUACACUUCUACUCGUUUUUGCACAAUCAAAUAAUGUAGAAUUUUGUAAGGAUGAGAAAUGUAAAUAGCAGGUGAGGACGUAACCCUUAGAGAGCAACUAGGUGUAACACACAAUUUAUCACUCAUCAUAAAGCUACUCCACCUAUAUGAAUAAUAAUAACAACAAUAAUUUUAUUUCAAUUUCAACGAAAGGAAAAGACUAAAGAUCAGAGCACCAGAUGUGGUUCCAAUCAAACAUUACAUUAUUAAAGUUAAAAAAAAAAAGGAAAAAAACUGGAGAUAAUUAGAGUAUUAUAUUGGAGAGAGUGGAGAGUUUUUAGGAGGAUUGUCGUUAAUAAUUACUUGAUGGUUUCUUACUUUUUUAAUCUUAUUUUUUCUCUUCAUUACCAUCAGCAGUUGUACCAUUAGAAGUAGUAGAACUGAAGUUAAUAGAAACUUCACUUCCCUGGUGACGUGAACUGAAGUUAUUUUUUCAGUUGUACCAUCAGCAGUGUGCGCAAACACCAACGAAGCCAACAAUAGAUCACUCACCAAACCCUUUUUCCUCUCCACGCCUUUCAGCUUCUUAACCACUUCCUCCACUUUCACUAUCAAAUCAACCAAUCGAAAGCCACCCGAGCUCGAACCCUCCUCUGAGUUGUUGGUUCAUGACCGUUUGGUUUUCGGCUCCUCUUGGGUGGUGUCGUCGAGGCUAGUUGACCUCUUCUUGCCACGGGCUUCAGUAUCCUUAGAAGUUGGCGGUUUAGAGAUGGAAUUGAGGUUAUUUUUGGAAAUGAGUUCUCCGUUGAAAAGUGAUAAUGUGGGGUUGGGUAAGCUUAAUUUGUUUAAUGUGGACAAAAGCUCGUUAGUCCAAGCCUCCAGCUGAUUGCAAGCAGAAAAAAACCAAGCCAAUAAAGAACCACUGAUCACCAAAUCAGCAGUUUUUCCGCUAACGCUUUUCAGCUUCUUAACCGUUUCCUCCAAUUUCACUAUCAGAACAUCCACUGACACGCUUUUGGAUCCCCAGCCCUCCAUAGUAUUGUGUAGUGCCUUAUCAUGCAUCAAACUUCUAAUUACAUCCAAACCAAUUUGACUUGAGGAAUUAAAGUAGUUCUUCUAAGAACAUAAACAUUUUUUUUUUUUUGAAAAUAUACCCCAAGGGUCAGUAGAUGUAAAUGGACCAAAGCAUCACCACCACUAGGUGAGCAUAUCCUAAUAACACCUUCUAUCAUCGUCACUUUAUUGAUAUUCAAUAAGUUUGGAAGUACAUGUGAUAAUGGAUGGAAAAAGCAGUAGACAUGCAUGUGCAGCGAAAUUAGAAUUUAAUUUACUCUAAUUGCAUGUAACAUUUAGAAAUUAAUAUUCAAUUCCCUAAUUAAAUGAAAUUAUGGUUUGGUGAUCAUAUACCUUUAUACCUCCCAAAAUUCCCUAAUCUCCACACGAAAACUCAUACCCAAACCACCACGAAAGUUGACUCGUUAGCUAUUCUCCAAACUUAAAACUGGUCGAUUAUGAAACCCGAUCGAUAAAGGAUUUGAAAGAGAGAUGGAAUUUGAAGCGAUAUAUAUUAGGAUUCAACGAGCUAUAUAUAUAUUAGGAUUCAUACUGGGAAUGGAGCAAAUACUAUUAUUAUUAUUAUUUAUUACUAUUGUAACCUAAGUAGAUGCCAAAAGAGAUCAGUAGCAGCUGAAAGCAACUUUUCUUUGACUUUCAAAUGGCUAAUGUCGAUUGGCCACAAUUGUGGAGUGUAGAAUGUAUUAAAAUUUUAGACAGUGAGAAAAGCAAAGACUUAUUUUGAAAAUACACAUGAACAAAUAUGACCUUUAACGUUGAAAAAAUGACAACACAACUUUAAUGUCGCCUUUUACAAUAUGAAUGUUUAAUGUCAAAUUUAAAUCGACAAUAAAGAGAAAGCUUUAAUGUCAAUUUAAAACUGACGUUUUAAGUAUGGUUAAAUUUUUGUAAAAAAGUACCUUCUCUCGCUUACUUUACUCUUUUCUUUCUCAUGAUGCCAACAAAUUUUUAACUAGUUGUUGGCAUGAGAAAAAAUAUUUAUCAAUUUCUUUACUUUAAAUAAAAUUAUGCCAACAAAUAAAUAAAAUUAUUACUCUUUACUUUACUCUUUUAUCAAUUUCUUUCCUCUCUUCUCAAUCUCACUUUCAACCCUCUCAUCUCCGUCGAACAGGCCACUGCACUCACAGUUGUCAUCGUUCUCCCUCGUGCCCAGCCACUGCCACGUCUGCACUGUUGUGCUCGGGUGUUCGUCAUCCUCGUUUUUCACAUUCGUGUGUCCGUCCCAAGCCCUUGCAUUAUAUAGUGUACGAAGGAAGCUACAUUACGUUAGAGAGCGGUAUUACAACGUCAAAUGUUUAAGAUUUAUGACCGUGAGCAUAGGAAAGGUUAGCUCUAAUACAUUAACUAUUUAAUGCAUUGAAGUUGCUAAGAAGUCACUUUUUUUUUUUUCAAAGUUGCCUUAUUAAAAUUCUGAAAAGUAAAUGGUUGAUUUAGAUAUUAUUGGUAGAAUGAUUAAAGUCAAAUUGGGUUGAAAGCAAAGCGAUUAGGUAGAAGGCUAAGCGAUCGUUAUAUGUUGAAGACUGUGAAGCCAUUUAAAAUUUCUUAUUUAUGUCUUGUAUUAGGAUCUUACUCUUGUAAAAUGUAGGUUGUAGGUUGUAGGUUGAUUGUUGUAGGUUGUAGGCUGUAUCUCUUUCAGUUGUAGAAUGUAUAUAUAAAUACAAUAUUAAAAUUUAAUUUUGUAUAUACAAUGUAAAAGAGAAAUAUUAUAGUUUACAAAAGAAUAAUAAUUUUAUUUAUUUGUUGGCAUGAGAAAAAAUAUUUAUCUACAUGAAUUCAUAAUAUCAAUUUUUAACUAGUUGACAUCAUUAAAAAAAGGACAAUAACGCAACAAUUUAUUAAAAAUAAAAUUGUAAAAACGGACCCAAAAACAAGGCUUUAAUGUCACUUUUAAACUGACAUUAUUGAGGAUUUUUAAUGUCAGUUUUAAAACUACAUCAAACCCAACCGACACUAAAUGCCUUUAUUUUGAUCAUCAUGACCUUGUGCAUCAUUGAAUGAAAUUUUGAUGGAAGAUAAUAAGGGUGCUAAAAGGGUGGCCAUCUAGUAGGGAUGCUUGGGUGCACCUACUGAUCCAAGUCGUAUCCUAAUUAAAAAAAACACUAUCAAAGAUGUCAGAUUAAACCGACAUUAAAAGAAUUUUAUAAUACAACCAAUCAACAUUAAAGAUCUUUAAUGUUGGUUAAACCAUCAUUAAAGUCCAAUUUUUUACUACUGAUAUCAUAAUCAUCAAUAAAAUGGUUUUCAUAAUAUAUACUUUUUCUGCUAAAAUAAUAAUAAUAAUUUUAUUUGAACAAAAGGAAAAGUGUUAAGACAGCACGAGAUGUGGAUCUAAUAAAACAUAACAUUAUUACAAAAAAGAAGAAAGAAAAGUAAAAUAGUAACAAUAAUAUUCUGAUAAUUAGAGAAUUGGAGAGUUUCUUGUUGGAGGAUUAAGGUUGACUACUUGGCGGACUGUUUAUACUUUUUUAAUUUUCUUCGUCUCUCCACUUCCACCAGCAGCAGUAGUAGUAGAACCAUAAUUAAUAGAGAGAUCACUGUGCUGGUGAACUAGCGGCUUUGCUUUUCUAGUAGAUCUAGAAAUAAGCUCAGCAGUGCAAGCCGUAAGCAGAGCCUGGGCAGACACAAAGCAAGCCAACAAAGGAUCACUCACCAAUUUAUCCUUUUUCCGGCCCACCCUUUUCAGCAUCUUAACCAUGUCUUCAACUUUCUCUAUCAGAUCUUUCAUUGGCACGUCCGAGCUUGAACCCUCCUCUGCGUUAUCGGUUUUUCGCUUUUGAGUUGGGGGACGAUCAUGUUGGAAGUCGUCGUUGGGGCUAACAGGCGCCGGCCUCUUCUUACCAUGAACUGGAUCCGGUGUCUGUGGCUCAACGGACGACCUUCCAGGGAAUUUGGGUGUGUUUUUUUUACUGGGUGAUGAGGGGGGAUUAAAGAUCCCAUGAGCAAGGUUUAACUCACCCCCCAUGGUGUUGUGUUGUGUUUGUAGGCCUAAUAAUCAACUUUUCAAAGCUCACAUAUAUAGAUAGAAAGUUAAAACAAUACCACCACCACCUUACAAUGUGUACUGAUCUAGAUCUACAAUAAUGGUCAACAUCCCUUCUAGUCAACUAUCAAACGUAGUCAUUUUCCCGAUUUUUUAUUGCACACUCACCAAAAUAAGUAUAUUUUCCACUUGGUACAACAACCAUAGGAAAGAAAGAUUCAAAUCGCAAACCUGUUAGUUAUAAACCUCUUACCUCUUAGUUAUAAAUACUGUCUGAUAUACUUUGUUGGUCAUUAUAACUCAUAUUGAUUCAAUUACAGUAAAAUUAUUUGAAAGCAUCGAUUGUCAUUUAUUUCUUCUUAUUUUUAACUCCUAUCCAAAUACAAACUAUCACAAUCAUUUAUUAUAUAAUAAGAAACUCUCUUUCUUUUUUCUAAAGAAAAAAAAACAAACAAACAACUUAAUUAUACUAUUAUGAUAUAUUUGAGAUUUCACUAACAUAAUAUGCUUACUUUAAUAUUUGUGUUAAUUAAUUAACUAAAAAAUUGGAGACUUUUUAUUAUUUAUUUUUAAUAAGCUACAAUUUGAGUUUGCAAGUGCAGUUGAACAUCCCACUUAGAAAAUCUUUAUGAAUAAAAAAAGAAACUCUUAAGUUUUUUUUUGCUAUAUUUUUGUAAAGAGGGAAUAUUUUGCUAUUUUUUUGAAAAUGUCCAAAAAAAUUUUUAAAUAAAUGAAUUUUAAUCAUAGUUAAAUAAUUAUGUUAAAGUUAACAUCAACUAAAAGCAAACAUUAGUUGCUGCUCUUUUUUUUAGUACAAAGGAAAACAUUGGUUGAAACAGUUUUAGUUUUAUCGAGAGAAUCCUAGAGAGAGAAAUGACGGUGGAAAUGAAAUGCUUUCUACAGUAUUCUCCAUCCCAACCAGUGACAUCUGAAGCUUUCCCAUUAGAACAAAAAUGACGACGGGGUUCAUUUACUUGCACCUUUAACUAACAAGCAAACGUUUGGAAGUGAGUCGUAUACCUAUAAAAAUGAGUGUAAUUCCUAAUACAGUUUAAAAUAUUAAGGAACAACUUCUCGGUGGCAAUAUGAGUUCUAUUUUGUGUUUUUAGAUUAAUUGAGUUCAUCAAAUUUGGAUUUGAUACAUAUAUAUAUAUAUAUAUAUAAACCUUUUUUUUAAUUCUCUAAUAUAAGGGUGUGCAAAUUCUUAAAAUAAAAUUGUUAUUACUAAUUGAUAAAUGUUUGAAAGUCUUUGAAAUUUAAUGAUGAAAUUCAAGGAGCAAUAUAUAUUAGGAUUAUUCAAAUUGAGAAUGGAGCAAAGACUAUUAUUAUUAUCAUUAUCAUUAUUUAUUAUUUGUUACUAUACUAUAACAUAAGUAGAUGCCAAAAGAGUUGGUAUCCGCUGAAAGCAACUUUUCUUUGACUUUGUUCAAAUGGCUAAUGUGAAUUGGUCACAAUUGUGGAGUGUAGAAUGCAUUAAAAAUUUAGACAGUGAAUGAAGCAAAGACUAAUUUUUGAAAUAUCGUAAUUGUCAAUAAAGGGUUUUCAUAAUAUAUACCUUUUCUCUAAAAAAAACAAAAUUAUGCCAAAUUCGAACAACUACUUCUUACUUCAACUUUCAAAUGAUUUGUUUAUAGUAAUUAAGAAUUUUCAAAUAUUAAAAAAUAAACUAAAAUAUUUAUAAAAUUUUAAACUCUAUCAACAUAUAUAUAUAUGUCUCUUAGGCACAUCCAUAGAUAACAAGUAUUAGACAGUCUAAAAUUGUGUUAUAUUUUAUCAAUAUCUUUUAGUUAUUUGUCAUUUGGAAUAAUUUCUCUUAUAGUAUUCUCUAAUAUUUAUUUUUAUUAAAUCUAACAUAAAUACAAACGCUUUGAAUUUCAUAUAAAAGUGAACUAAACAAAUGUGUGUAUAAAAAUACUUUUUGGAAAACUAUUCAAAUACUACCUAAAGUUUGUUUUAGUCCUUGAUGAUAAUAUUUAGCGUGAACCAUCCUCUUGGAAGGUUACCAAGAUAUAAUUUGAUUGAACCAUUCAACUUUAGAGUUGAUGCGUGAAAAUGCAUCUUACUAUUUCAGUGAGGAUUGAGGAAUAGGAGUAAAAUAAUAAUAUUUGAACUUUUCCACUGCAAAUUUAUAAGAAAAACAAUAUUAAUAAGAGAAAAAUCUUUUGUUAAGAAUUUUUGUUUUCACCUAUGCGAUAAGGUUAGGAUUUGCAUGUAGGAGUACUGCAUCAAAUCUGGAGCUAAGGGUGUGUGUUCUUGGUUUUUGGACUUUUUCACUUCCUAUUAAAAAAGUUUCCCUAAAAUUAAAAGCUACAACUACUCCCUAAUAAAUUAUUUCUGAUGUGGUCAGCAUGCUUGCGUUAUCAAAGAAUUGGAGAAUAACGUCAGCCAUUUUCCCAUGUGCAAAGUUUCGUUUCAUAUGUUUAUAUAUAUAUAUAUAUAUAUAUAUAUAUAUGUUUGACUAUGAUAGUGAAAUUUUUUGUGGUAGUGAUGAUCAUCUUAUUAGAGCUACAAUAAUUAUUGAGUACGUUAUAAAGUGUGGUGGUGAAUAGAUUUCAUAUAUUUGUAGCAAAUAGAUCAUUAAUCAUAAAGGAUACUGUAGAUUGACUAGAGAAAUAAAAUACAUUUUGAUUGAGUGGUUGCCAAAACUCAUCAAAUAUUUUCAAAGUAACUUACUUUUUUAUCAAUUUAUUUUAGAGAAGAAACUAGGAUUGUAGAAUGAGGGUUAAUAUCUAUUAAUAUCUAUUAACAAAGAGUUAAGUUACAAGGUUGAAAGGCUAGAAGGAAGCCUUAAAUAACAUAAUCUAACAACGCUCUAGUGUUAAGAGAAACGACGCAAAGACCAAACUCCGAUCAAGUUACCAAUGUCUUUUCACAAGUUAAAAAUAGUUUUUGAUCCAUUAAAAGAAUUCUACUUUUUUUUUCAACUAUAUAGUCCAAACUAAGCCAACUAUCGCAUUGAAUUUUAUGACAAGUUGAACCAAUUGAUGUACCCUAAAAUAUAUUUUUAAAAUAUACUAGGGACAACCUCUCUAUUAAUUAAUUUACUGCUAUUAUUAUUAUAAAGCUACUUCCUUGGCUUUCCUAUGUCUAAUGUUGACUUAAGAAAUAGGUGUUUACUAAUCCAUGGAGAUUCAUCAAUCUCGAAACGUUUAUUAUUCAGAAAUAAAAUAUUUGUCACGGUAUCUAAAUUUUCUUAUAGAAAUUUGUUUUAUAAAAAAUUGCUAGCAGUAGUUCAAUGACCACUUCAAUCAGUUUGAGUUCAUUAAAAUAAAAAAACAAAAAACAAAAGAAAACUUUGUUUUUUCUUCUGUAAUUGUAAGGUACGUUAAGAUUCUCCAAGUUCCCCUGCACCCUUAUUUCUUGAGUAUCAAACUCCUAAUACUAUAUAUAUAUAUAUAUAUAUAUAUAUAUUAUAUAUAUAUAUAUAUAUAUAUAUAUAUAUUAGUUUACCUAAUCGACAGGCUGAAAAAGAUUAGAAAUUUAUCUCAAAAUGUACCAAGUAUUACUCAUAAGUUACUUUCACUUUUCAGCUAGUGUCAUCAAAGAAAUGGUGAAUGACGUUAUCCAAUUUACAUGAAUAAAUAAUGCUUUCAUGCAUAAAAUUAUUGGUACAUACAUUUCUGUAUGGCUCGCUUUUUUUUCUUUGGAGAAAACACUUGCCGUUCAAUUUAUUAUUAGUACUGUUGAGAUCAGUUUAUUUAGUGAUCAAAGUCGAUCUCUCAUUUGUAGUACUUUUGUAGAACUAGAAAGGCUAUCUAUCUAUCUCCAUUUCAAAGCAAAGAUAAUGCCAUUGACUCACAAGCCACCUUCGUCUUCUUCUUCACCCAAUAAGCCAACCCUUGACCCUCACGACCCCAAGGCUGUUCGAUGGUCAGAGUCGGUUACCGGCGGUGAUUCUGAUAGCAGAAAGAAGCAGCAUGGGAUCCACGAUGACGAUGAGUUUGAAGAAGGUGAGACACCCGAGCAAGGGGAUGAGGAAAAUCAGCACCAACUUGUUAUUGGAAGUAGAACGCCAGAACCACCCAAGAAUGAUAUGAGUUGGGCUAGGUUCCAAACUUCGCAGUUUUAACUUUUCUUGUAAGUUUUUCUUUUCAUAUUUAGUUCUUCUUUUUUUCUUUUUUCUUUUUUUUUGUGGAGUACUCUACAUGCUUUUGCAAAUUGGUUUCUAUAAUUCAGGUAGAUUUAGAAAACUAUUUUAUUUUGCCUAACCAACAUAUUGUGUCACAAAAACAUAGUAGCUCUUCUGAUCUAUUAUUUUUCCAAAAAAAGAAAUAAAAUCUACAUGUUCUACCAUCGGAAAGAUAUUUGAAGAAUCUACAUAAGUCUUUAGAUCUACAAAUUUGACAUUGUUAAAAUAUUUUCAGAUAUUGUUUUUAUGAUAGUUACAAACCAUAGAAACUAUAACCUUACCCAACCAUAAAAGUAGACCACUUCACGUUACAACUUCGGCUUUAAAUGUCUGUUUUCGAAUUGACAUCAGAUACUUAUAAUGAGGAAUUACACACUGCAUGGUAUGAUGUGUCAUCGUAGGUACAAUGUUGGAUGAUCUAUGAUGACGGUCACGUUAAACUUCCCUCAAAACUUCUGACAUCAUAUUGAUAUAUGAGAUAGUUGUUUAUGAUGAUGGUUUCGAACUGACAUCAUAUCCCAUGUCAUCAUAAGCCUAUACGGUGACGAGUUUGUCUUCAUGCCAUCAAAAUUGUUGUAGUUUUAUUUCUGUCACAUGGUGAUAAACUCCAAUGAAAUUUUUGGUGCAACUUUCACAUACUUUGACUCAAACAAAAAUGUUAUUUGCAUAUAGAUAUAAAUUUGAACACGUACCUUUUACACUUCACGCUUUUCUCAAUUACUAGCUAUUAGUGUUGAAUUGAAGUGUUGAGUCCUCAAGUGAAACACACCCUUCCAACUGCGAUCCGCCAAAUCUUCUUCAGCAUAUAAUAAUUUAAUGAUAAUAAUAAAUAAGAUAACAAGUUGUUUGUUUAUUAGGGAGAUCAAUAAGAGUGGACGACAAUCGUUCACUACGUGCUAAGAUGCAUCAAGCUGCACUAAAAGGAGACUGGGAAGGUGCAAAGCAAAUGGAAAUGAUGCAUCCAGGAGCCUUAACAAUGGUGAUAAGUGAAAGAUCUGAAACUGCUCUUCACAUAGCGACGAGAGUGAAGAGGGCCAGUUUCGUCGAGAAGUUGGUGGAACGGUUGGACGAGCAUGAGUUGGCGUCGAAAAAUAAAUAUGGAAACACAGCCCUUUGCAUUGCGGCUGCAUCAGGGGCUGUGGCUAUUGCCAAGUUGCUGGUUAUUAAAUAUAAAGCUUUGCCACUUAUUCGUGGCUCAGGAAAUGCAACUCCUGUUUUGAUUGCAGCAAGAUAUAAGCAUAAGGAUAUGGUUUCUUAUCUUCUCUCCCAAACGCCCGUCUAUGGGUUGGCUAGGGAAGAGCAAAUGGAGCUGCUUCUUGGUGCUAUUUCAGCUGAUUAUUAUGGUAAUUCCAAAUUCUCUUCCUUCAUUAUCACUACUUUUUUAUCCGUCAAUGCUAAUUAAAUACAUAUAGGAUUGUAACUAAAUGUUGCUCUUUUAUAUGAUUUGGUUGAAUGAAAAAUUAUAAAAUAGAUAUAUUUUUAGCUGGGCAAAGAUUAGACGCAACAUAGGGCCAUCACUCAAGUUUUGUUUUUAUUUUCAAAUAUAAUAAAGAGGUAUUUUUAAAUAUAACAAAAUUUUAAAUUGAUAAAUUUAUAUCAAUGUCUAUCUAUUGGUGAUAGAAUUUGAAAGUUUGCUACAUUUUUAAAAAUAUUUUUAGCAGUUUUGUCUUUUUUAUAAUAAUUUUUCUAUAAUAAAGUUAGUUUCCUCUUAAUACAGUGCAACCAAACAAAAUUGACUUUACAAGUAGAUGCACGACGAUGUAACAAUUUAGGGACGUUUUCCUUUGGAAUGCAUAUAGUUGAAGUUUUUGGAUGUUGAUUGCUAGAAUUUUCAAUGACAAACAAAAAAGCCUUAUCAACAUAUGGGAAGACUGUUGUAAUUUCAUUGACACGUGGAGUGGCAAGCAUAAAAUGUUUAAAUAUUAUAAUGUCAGCACCAUAUGUUGGUUUUACAACAAAGGAUCUGUAAAAUCUCACGCACUCUUCUUGAAGAAAACAAAGAUAAAUACUUUGUAAAAUGUAUUGCCAAGAGGGAGAGAAAAUUAAAUGGAACUUUUUUCCUUUAUUCAAUUUGAUGGACUAAUAUUUAUAGUCUAAAAGGAAGCAAAAAUUAGUAACCCACUAACUUAGUGCUUGCUAAAACUUUGGAGAUAAUUAAGACAAUAAAUAACCAAAACAAUAAAUAGAAAAAUAACUUAAUUCUUCCACCUAUUUAGGAAGAUCGUGACAAAUUAAUAGCCCACACUUCCCCCUAAUUCUGACAUGAUUCUAAGUUACGAACACCGAGUAGUUGACGCAUAGAAGCUUAACUUUACUCCCGUCAAUGCUUUAGUCAUAACAUCGGCUCGUUGUUCUCCAGUGUUGACAAAUUCAACAAUAAUUUUUCUAUUCUCGACACACUCUCGAAUGAAAUGAAAACGUGUAUCUAUGUGCUUGCUGCGACCAUGAAAAACGGGAUUCUUCAUGAGAGCUAUCGCGGAUUUGUUGUCCACAAAUAAUGUUACCGGCCUUGGCUCCAUUCCGACUAUCUCGCUAACAAGGCAUCUUAACCACAAUGCUUGGCAAGCUGCGGUAGUAGCUGCAAUGAACUCGACUUUGCAAGAUGAGAGUGCCACCGUCUUUUGCUUUUGCGAAUUCCAUGAAACCAAGCUUUCGUUUAAGUAGAAUGUCAUUCCACUUGUGCUUUUCCUCCCGUCGAGAUCACCGGCUAAAUCACUGUCAGAGUAACCGAAUAUAUUGAAUUCUCUGAGACCUUUCGUAUAAGUGAGCCCAAAAUGAAUUGUCCCUCUCAAAUACCUAAGUAUUUGCUUGACCACCUUGUAAUGCAUGGUUGUAGACCUUUCCAUAUACCUACUCGCCAUCCCAACAGCAUAUGAAAGAUCUGGCCUUGUGUUUAGUAAGUAUCUAAGACAACCAACGAUGCUUCUGUACUCUGUAGCAUCAAUUGGUGCUCCUUCUAUGUCUUUGUGAAGUUGUGCCUUGGGUUCCAUCGGGUAUUUUGUGGCAUUGCAAUCAGCCAUUCCAAACUAGGACAAAAUUCUUUUGGCAUAAGUUGGUUGUUUGAGCAGGAUUCGACCCUUCUGUUGUUCAACUUCAAUUCCUAAGUAGUAAGAGAGAAGGCCUAAAUCGCUCAUUUCAAAUUCUGCCAUCAUUUGUUGCUUGAACUUAUUGACCUUUUCAGUGCUACUUCCUGUUAUAAUGAGAUCGUCAACAUACACUCCAACAAGAACACAUUCCUCUUCUUCUCUUCUUCUGUAGACUGCUUGCUCUUGAGUGCAUUUUCUAAAACCAAGAUCUUUGAGACUCCUAUCAAGUCGAAUGUUCCAAGCUCGUGGAGCUUGCCUCAAUCCGUAGAGAGCCUUUGACAAUCUAUACACCUUGUGUUUUUCAUUUGGAACCUCAAAACCCUCCAGUUGAGUAACAUAUACUCCCUCUUCCAAUUCUCCAUUGAGAAAUGCCGACUUCACAUCUAGAUGGUGUACCUCCCGACUUUGGUUUGCAGCGAGUGCAAGAAUGACUCGAAUGGUGUCAAGUCUUGCAACCGGUGCAAAAACUUCUUCAAAGUCAAUGCCUUGUCUUUGUACAUAGCCUUUAGCAACCAAUCUUGCUUUGUGCUUGACAACUUUUUCAUUGGGGUCUUUCUUCAAUUUGAACACUCAUUUUAGACCAAUGGGUUUGUGUCCUAGUGGAAGCUCGAUCAGACUCCAUGUGUUGUUUUUCUCAAUGGAUUUUAAUUCGUUCUCCAUUGCUUCGUAUCAGAGGCCCUCUGUAACAGCUUCUUGGGUAACAAGUCGGUUCUUCGAACACUACCAUCAUCACCUCAUUCUCUUGUUCAUCACCACCUACAACUUCCUCUGUGUUGGCGUCGAUGUCACUGAGAGAUCUUAGACGGACCGUGUGUUCGUCGAUGGAGGAGAUGGACUGGUCUCUCCAAUCGCAGGUAUCUCAGUUGCAUGUGGUAAGGCAUUUUCAACCCCAGUUUCUGCAUCCUCCAAGUUUUCGAACUCGUCAGAAUAAAAUUGGUCCAUCACCUGAAACUCUGUAAUCUCCUUACCGUCACUAACAACUUCGUUCCAAGCCCAUUCAAGAUUCUCUUGAAAAAGAACAUCUCUACUAAUUUGUAGUUUUCCACGGCCUGGGUCAUAUAAGCGAUGGGCUUUGCAUCAUUCUUCGACACCAAAAUAUACCAUUGGUGAGCUUCGAUCGUCGAGAUUCUUGAGGAGAGGGGUUGUGUUGUUUACAUAUGCCACACAACCAAAGACUCUCAAGUGUGCAAGAUGUGGCUUUUCUCCCCAUCCAAGCUUCAAAUGGUGUGCAUUCUCCAAGGGCCUUCGUUGGAAGACGGUUUAACAAAUAAACUGCGUGUCUCACUGCCUCUCUCCAAAAUUUUGCAGGCACAUGCAUGCUUUUGAGGAGUGAUCUCGUCAUCGCCAUUACGGUGCGGUUACAACGCUCUACAGUGUCAUUUUGUUGUGGUGAAUAUGGAGUAGUGAGGUGUCGUUCGAUUCCUUCUUUUUUGCAAAAUUGAGUGAACUCUGCAGAUAAGAACUCACCACCUCGAUCCGUCCGAAGUGUUCUGAUCUUGUACUCCGUCUUGUUCUCCAUUAAGAGUUUGAAUUUCUUGAAUGCUUCAAAUGCGUCACUUUUUGCCUCCAACAUAUACAGCCACAUCCAUCUCGUGGAAUCGUCAACGAUUAACAAAAAAUACUUGUUUCCAGCAAGAGUACAUGGUGAAAUCGGUCUGCAUAUAUCAGCAUGGAGGAGUUCUAACGGCUUCUCUGCUCUAUAUGUUGAUUGACGGGGGAAGGGCAAUCUGGCUUGUUUGGUAAUCACGCACGCUUCACAUAACUUGUUCGGUUGAGUCACUAGUGGUACUCCAACUACCAAUUUCUUCUCUCCCAUGAGCUUCAAGUCAUGAAAAUUUACAUGGCCAAGUCUCACGUGCCAUAACCAUGUUGGAUCUUCUAGGCUUGUCAGAAGGCAGACUUGCUUGAGUGUCUUCAAAGUUAUCUUGUACAAACGAUUUUGAGUUCGCUUCACCGACAUCAAAAGCUUCCCACUCCUAUCAGACACUUUCAUGAUAUCUUCUAUCAUUUGCACCUUGUUUCCGUUUUCUGUCAUUUGUCCGAGGCUUAUGAUGUUACUACAUAAUUUUGGAAUGUAAUACACCUCUUGGAGAGCCUUCUGAUCACCGUUCUUGCACUCGAACAUGACUGUUCCUUUUCCCAUGAUCUGAAUGGUUGAUCCAUCGCCAAACUUCACCCUCCCAGUGAAGCUUUCAUCUAAUUCUUGGAACUUCUCACGAUGGCCAGUCAUGUGGUUACUAGCACCGUUGUCAAGAUACCAAACAUCAUUAUUUUCUCCAUUCUUGUCGUUGCAAUACAUCUCUGGCAACAACCGCUCUUUGCUGAGUAGUAUGACAUCCUCCUGAUCACAUCUAGUGUGUGUCCCCUCCUGGGACAUGGCCAUCAUCAAAGCUAGUUCUUCUUCGACGACACAAGUUAGAUGAGCUUCGUCGUCACGACCUUUUCCAGGACAUUUCGACGCGUAAUGUUCCAUCUUGUUGCAAGUGAAACACUUAAUGUGACUUUUAUCACGAGUGCCAUUUCCAGUGUUGCUAGUGUCUCCCGCACUAUUUUGACGCUCAGUGUCACGACCACGGCCACGACCACGUCCUCGCCAUCUUCCUCGAUCGGUAUCACCAAAUCCGCGCCCUUUGUUCAUCGAAGAGUUGUCACCACUAUGUCCUUUUUGUCUAGCUUUCCAUUCGGCAUGGGUAAGUAGGAGUUGCCCAUCGGUGUUGUUAUUGUUUUCUCGGAGUCGUGUUGUUCGUUCCUCGUAUGCCUUCAUCCGUCCAAUUGCUUCUUCAAACGGCAUAGUUUCGAGAUCUUGGAAUUGCUCGAUUCCGGCGACAAUGGGAAGAUAUUUGUCGGGGACGAAAUCGAGGAGCUUCUUGACCAAUGAUGAAUCCUCAAGUGCAACUCCGAGGGUGGUGAACUUGCUUGCUAAUCCGCUGAUUUUUCCUGCGAAAUCAUUGAUCGUCUCGGUUUCCUUCAUCCGAAGAACAUUAAACUCACUCUUCAAGGUUUGAACUCUCGCCAUCUUCACCCGCUCACUGCCCAAGUACCUUGUCUUGAGACUAUCCCAUAUUUCCUUUGCGGUCUUCUUCUUUGCGAUUUAUAGAAGCACAUCUUCCGGGAUGUAUUGGAGAAUGUAUGCACGUGCCUUCUUGUCUUUCUUAACAUCCACUUCGGCUCCUCUCGCUGGCUCUAUUGCUUCCCAAACUCCUUGAGCAUCGAGGAUUGCUUCUGCCUUUAUCGUCCACACCGUGUAGUUGUGUGGAGUUAACAUCGGGUAGAGAAUCGGCAUUCCACCAUUCUCUUUUGUUUGUUGUGAGAUGCUUGCCAUCUUUGUUGGAAUAUGCGAUGAGAAGACAACCUGCUCUGAUACCAAAUGUUGGUUUUACAACAAAGGAUUUGUAAAAUCUCACGCAUUCUUCUUGAAGAAAACAAAGAUAAAUACUUUGUAAGAUGUAUUGUCAAGAGUGAGAAAAAAUUAAAUGAAACUUCUUUCCUUUAUUCAAUUUGAUGGACUAAUAUUUAUAGUCUAAAAGGAAGCAAAAAUUAGUAACCCACUAACUUAAUGCUUGCUAAAACUUUGGAGAUAAUUAAGACAAUAAAUAACCAAAAUAAUAAAUAGAAAAAUAACUUAAUUCUUCCACCUAUUUAGGAAGAUCAUGACAAAUUAAUAGCCCACACCAUAGCUCUCAAUUUCCAUGUUUUUCUGUAAUACUUUUGUAAUCUGGGCCCCCCUCCAACCUCUCUACUAUUAAUAUAUUUCUGGUGGCUUAGCUUUGCUCUCUCACCUUGUUUUUUCCUCAAAAAAAAAAAAAAAAAAAACACUUGGAUAACAGAUGUUUUAAGCUCUUGUUGGCUUAUAUAAUUUUAUAUGUUAUUUUCCAUUAACAAAGUAGUCUAUAUUAAUUUCAAAUAUAAUUACAUACUAUUGCCGAAUUUUGUUUUUGGCAGAUAUAGCUUUGUUGAUUCUAGAAUGGAACGUGUCAUUAACAUUACAACGAGACUUCAAUAACGAGACACCCUUACAUAUAAUGGCUCGAAAGUCAGGUGCAAUUGGCAAGAAAAAUAAACCAACAAUGUGGGAAUCACAUGUUAAUAAAUGUAAGCUUCUUUUCUUCUAUUAAAAGUUUAAACUUAAUGCAAUGCAAUUAUAUAUAUACGUAUAUAUGUUAUUUAUGUUCAUUAUUAUUAUUCAUGGUUUAGGGUUGUCCAAGCAUAUAUACAAAAAGAAAAUGAUGCAAAUACAAGCAUAUAAAAUGGUGGAGCUGAUGUGGAGUGUUGUACUGAAGGUGAUUCCAGAAAAUAAGGUGUCGGAUUUCAUGAUGAAUCCGUCAAGUAUGUUACACGAAGCUGCAAGAGUUGGAAAUGUUGAAUUUUUGAAAGUGUUAACAAAUGAAUAUCCUGAUCUUGCAUGGAAUGUUGAUGGUGGGAGGAAGAGUAUAUUUCAUGUAGCUGUUGAGAAUAGACAAGCCAGUGUUUUUAGUUUAAUUUAUGAAAUGGGUGAGUUCUUGGAUUACCUACCUUGUUAUUUUGAUGAGGAAAACAUGAGUUUGUUGGAAUUAGCUGCCGAAAUGCCAGAUCCCAGUCACCUUAAUCAAGUUUCAGGAGCUGCCUUUCAAAUGCAUCGAGAACUUCUAUGGUUUAAGGUUUGUCUUUUUUCCACACAAUUUUAAAUAUGGGAUAGUUGCAAAUAUGACAAUUAGAUUCCAUGCUGAUAAAUUUUGCUAUAUUUAUAAUUUUAAGUAGAGGAUUUGUAAUCUUAAGAAGAGGAUUAGGUUCAGCUCCCUAGCAAAUUGUAGUCUCUAUUUAGUUCCAAAACUAUAAUUGUAACAUAAACGAACUGGUUGCAGCAAGUGGAGAAGAUUGUUGAGCUUACAAUGAGGAGAAAGAAAGGGAAGCGAAGCCCACGUGAAUUGUUCACUCAACAACACAAAGGUCUAGUUGAAGAUGGAGAAAAAUGGAUGAAGAAAACAGCAAAUUCAUGUAUGUUGGUUGCAACUCUCAUCACCACCGUAGUUUUCGCUGCAAUCUUCACCGUACCAGGUGGAUACACCAACACCACCAGCACCACAGGGAGCGUCAUCGAGAACAACAACAACACAGGCACUCCUCUAUUUCUUUACCACAAAUGGUUCACUGUUUUUGUGAUAUCAGAUGCAACAGCUUUGAUCUCAUCUUCAACUGCCAUACUAUUGUUUUUGUCAAUCCUCACAUCACGUUGUGCAGAAGAAGAUUUCCUUCUAUGGCUCCCAUUAAAGUUGGUAUUUGGACUUGGAACUCUCUUCUUAUCAGUAGUUACAAUGGUAUUGGCCUUUAGUGCCACAUUUUUUUUGUUCUAUGGCAAAGAUACGGCUUGGGUCCCAUUGCUUGUUGCUGGUAUGGCUAUUGUUCCUGUUUAUUGUUUCGGUGUAUUGCAGUUUAGGCUUUGGGCUGAUGCAAUAGCAGCUUUAAGGGCUACUUACUUCUUGUAUUUUAGGGAUGGGAUAGUUGCAAAUUUAUCAACUAUAUUUAAAAUAAUUAACUAUAUAGCAACUUUUUAAAAAAUUUGCAAAUAUAGCUGUCAAAUUCUAUCAAUAAUAUAAGUCUAUCACCGAUAGACCAUGUUGCAAAUAUCGGUCUAUCACUGAUAAACCAUACGAAGUCUAUCAGCGAUACAAGUCUACCAGUGAUAAUCUUGCUAUAUUUGCACUUUUUUUAAAAUAUUGUUAUAUCCUUAAUUACUAUUCCUAAAAUGUUCAUCAAUUACAAUUUCCCUUUAGGGAUUUUAAGCCCAUAUUAUUGUUUUGAUAGCUCUCAAUCAUUUGUUCUUUUCAAGAAAAAAUAAAUUAUUAUUACGUGGAACCAAAUAACCAUUGAUUGGAAUCUCCAUUCUAGGAGACCCCUUCGUAGCUGUGAAUUAACCAGGUGGAUGAGCUUAAUUCCACAUUACUUACUCCUACAUUUGUUGUAAAUGGUCAUGAUUUGCCGACCUGGAAACUAAACACACAAGGGACUUUCAAUAUAGCCUUAGUAAAAUCCGCCAUCCACACAAGUGAUAGUAGAGGGCGAAAUUCUUUUGCUCCAUAAACUUUUAGAAACUUGUGGAGAUCCAGUAUAACAAAAAAAUGCAAGUUCUUCAUAUGGUCCCUUGUACAUGAAUGCAUUAACAUGGCUGACAAUCUUCAAAAGAGGCUCCCUAACACGAAUCUAAGACCAAACUGAUGUGUUAUGUGCAGAAAAAAUGAAGAAAACAAACACCAUCUCUUCCUACACUGCUCAUAUGCCGCUGCCAUAUGGGAUAAAUUAAGAUUGAUGCUUAAUUGGAACUCCACACACUCCCGAACCUCCUCACUGUGCAUUGAUGUUAGUAAAUUAAAACAAAAGAACAAAAAGAUGAUCAUUUUAUUCAACUUUGUGGUAAUAGUUCUAUGAAACAUUUGGUUGGAAAGAAACAACAGAACGUUCAACGACAAAGAGAAGCGGCCAAUUGAUUUAUAGGAAGAUAUUAAAGCUCUGGCUGGACUUUGGACUAGUAGAUCCAAACACUUCUUAAAUUUUUCUGAGAGUUCUACUGCGCUUAAUUUAAAAACAAUAAUAAAUUAUUAUUAUUCGUGAAGUAGGUAGGGAUGUAAUGUACAUUAAAAUUCCAUAAUUAUGAAUUUAAUUUGAAUUAUGAUCCUAAUAAAAAAUCAUUAUUGAUUGAUACGUGUGUCGUCACAUUUCACAAGAUCCUAUGCGUGUAUAUAAUUUACUUUAUUAAGAAUAAAACAUGCCUAAUUGGUCUAAAAUUUGAGUCUUUAUUGUCUAUAUAUAAAAUUGUAAAUUUGGAACAACAAAUUUUAAAAUAUGAAGAAUUAGACGGAUGUAACAUAAAUUUUUAAAAUCAGAGAAUAUGCAAAAAAAAAAAAAAAAAAAAAAAGAUACCCGAUUCAAAUUUGAUUUUUUUUUUUCUUUUAACAAGAUAUUAGAAGAAAAGAGGAGUGAAGGGUGUGUUUGAGAAUAUCCGUUUAGCAUCCACGUCAUAUUCAAAUUUUGAACACUAAAUGGCUUUCUUACAAGGCUAAGCAUCGGUUGGUCAGUAGUUUUUUUUUUUACCAAUCGACACCGAACCGACUAUGGUCAGCUUAGUAAAUGUUCAAACCAACCAUGACCAUAAAAUAGUACCAACCAACCAUUGAUUAGUCAAUCAAUCAGGUUUAGGUUGGUUUAAGCCUUUGGAAAUUUUUGAAAAAUGUCAUGAUCAGUUUACACCGCUUGAGCCUCUUCUUAUCUCUUAUCAACCGCCUUCCGUUUGGUUUGUUUUAGUCGGUUGGCUUGAUUAAAUUUUCGAUCUAUCAUGCUAAUCUCUACUCUUACUUUUCUAAUUUUUCAAUUAUUAUAUCUUAUAUAUAUACCAAAAGAAAAAGAAAAUUGCGAGUGCAUUGUUGGAGUUGCAUAAUCGGAGUACACAAUCCAUCUAAAUGUUCAAACACAAGUUAUCACGUGAUAAUUUUGUUUGCGAUAUUUAUAUAUCGAACCAACAGACCAUUUAAUAGCAAUUUGACAUAAAAACUGUACCUAAAUAUUACAACCACUUGACAGGGAGGAAAGUAAAUAGAUGUGUGUGUACAUAUAUUGCAUUAUUUAUUUAAAAAAAUUAAGAAAAAUGGUGACUUCCUCGUAUAAUUUCCACAAAUUAUGAGCCCUUUUGAUUUCUAGUUGUGAGUAUGGUGAGUGACUUUAUUCAGCAUAGUACUGUCUAACUAAAAGUUUCACACAAAAUUAUUUGUUCCAACUCCAAACUGCUGACCCAACGACUUCUUAGUGUCAAUGGAUAGGGGGAUAAGUUUAAGAUACUACGAUCGAGAUCAGAAAAUACAUUCUUGUAAGGACUUGAAAUCACCCAUUAAUCCCAAAAACCUAAGUUAAUGGGUAAGGAUGAAUUUAAUAUAAUAGCUAAUAUAGUAGAACAUACAUUGUCAUAUGCUCGUAGAUUAGUCCUCAAAACAUAAAACACUCUGAUAUACGACGACCUAAAAUUCUGUUUGUGUCAAAGUGAGCCCCAAAGACCACAUGGAUAUAUCGUCAUUUCCAGUCAAUGUAAUGUGAAAUUAUACAUUAUAUUGAUGGAGUUGUUUGAAAACCACACCAACCUUGUACUUGGUGAAUUAACUUCCCCAAUUUUCUCAACUCUCCCCCUUCCACAAGGUCUUCCUUCCAAGCAAAACCCUCUCUUUAUUAAUUCUUUGUUUGUACUCUCAUCAACUUAAUAUUAUUAUUUUUAGUUAAUUUGUUUUUCUUUUCCCACAAACCUUCUUGAUCUUCAACCUCUCUCUUCCUUCCACCUACUGUCUUUCUCUCUUUUCCUCUUCUUUUUCUUGUGUGGUUUCAUCUUCAUGGUCGGAUGUUUCUGUCUUUUCCUCAAGUAAAACGAUCUUCAAACCAAUUGAAUCAUGUUCAUCACUAUAAGUUCUAAAGCACUCACUCUCAACCCUUUUCAAAUUUUAAAAUUCCCUAAAGAGAAAUGUUACAGUAGAAUUCGUACUCUAUGAGUUCAAAUGUUCAUAUAUCUCAUUAAUUCUGCAUCUGGCAAGCAUUAAUUGUAAAAUGUAUUUGAAAUUUUUCAUUCAAAAUUUGCACAAUAUUUACGCUGGUAGAGAGAAAAGAGAGCAUCUCUCUCCUCAUUCAUUCGACAUUACCAACCGCCAAUAAGAAAAUAAAUGCUUUUGAAAUUUCUCAGAACUUUAAAAUUUUUAAACCUUGGAGAGUAGAGAGAAGCGCCUCAUCAAUUCAAUUAGCAUCUUGGCAAUGAAUACUAUUAAAUGUAUUUUUGUCCUAGUGUCUGACUUGUUGUUUAAUUAUAGUCUAAAUUAUAUAUAAAAAAAUGCUUCUAAAUUUUUGUAAUAUGUGUUAAAAAUACAUCUACACAUUUUAUACACAACUUGAUACACCCCAUGCAUAUCUAAUACACAUAUUUAUAUACAUAUAUGAACGUUGAGAGUGGAAAAACAUUAAUUUUUUUAAUUUAAUAGCAAUUAAAUAAAAGGAUAUUUUAAAAAUGGCAAAAUAAAUUAAAAUAAUUACGAGUGAUAGCAAAAUGUUUGAUUAUAUUAAUGAUAGUAUUCUAUCACUAUAGCAUAUCAAUACUAUUACUAGUAAAAUUUGCUAUAUGUUGUAAAUAUUUUGUAAAAGUUACUAUUUUUUAAAAGUUCCUUUAAAUAAAUAUGCCAAAUAUAUUUUUUAUCUAACUAAUUUAUUGUUUCAGUAUGUUUUCCAAGAGAAACUUUUGUUUUAGAAUUUUAAAGCAAUAUGAAGAAUGUAAAUAUGGAUGCACACAUAAAUGUGGUUCACUAAUGGUAUGUUAGUUACGCGACCGACAAAGAAAGAACAUGUAUUAUAUAUUAGAGAGAAUGUUUCAUAAAUACAAUACAACGACAAAAUUAGAGAAUUUAUAUAUUGCACUUUUUUAAAUCUCAAGAGAGCCCACGUUGGAUUGUUCGUAGCACCAUGUAAUAAAUCGAAGGCAUUCCAACAGUGAGAUUAGUUUCAUUAGAUUUGUUUAAAAUUUUGGUAAAAGUGAAAUAAUAUUUUGAGUUUGUGGAGAUGUUCGGGUAUAUGACCGAACGUAUCUGUUUUAAAAAAAAUAUAUAUUUUGAGUUGGUGGGUAAGUAUAAUUGUCAAAACAAGUAGGAAAGUAAUGUACGUAUUGAUAAAUCUGUGGGACACUGAAGUAUUUUAUUUCUAAAAUAAAAGAAAGAUACCGUACAUAAUCUAUUAUUAAAAACCCCAUAGAUCAUUUCAAGAGGUAGCUUCAAUAUCUUUCGAGUCUCCAAACUUUUUUGAUAGAUUUGUCGAAAGAUUCAAAGAGGUGAUGGAGGAGGCCAAUAUGGAAAACGGCUGUACGUAUUUCUGCCUAUUGUUAACAAAAUAUUUAUCUAUAUCCGGUUUGAUUGAAGUUUGAAGGGCAUUGCCCACUUCAUUUAAUUUAUUUGAAGAUAUCAAUUCCUACAAGCCAUGUCUUCAUGUUCUCUUCAUUUGUCGUUUUUUUAUUUUUCUGCUAGUUUCUAACAUUUUGGACCAUCUGCUUUAGUCUUCUGUUGAAGGAGAAGUCGGUAUAACUUUGUUGGCUGGUAUUAGACCACCAGUCUCUAAUGUUCUUGUUGAAUGUAUGAUUUUCCAAAUCAAUAUUUAUUGAGGCGAAAUGGACAUGUGCCCCAUUUUAAAUUGGAUGUUUCAAGAACUAAUGGGAAGUGACCAGAAGUUGGGUCUUGCAAGCCUUCUGGCCUUCUGGAGAAGUGUACUGAGAAUUUGUCUUCCCAUUGUGAAGUAUAUAAGAAUAUGUCCAAUCUAAACAGGAUUGUUCUUGUUUGAAGGUUUGACCAUGUGUAGUUGGCAUUUGAGAGUGGGGGUCUAUCGAAGUAUACCUAUUUAUGAAUUCAUUGAAUUUGUGCAUGCUGCGUUCAACGAGGUUUGUUGUUGCAGUUUCAUUUGGCCAUUUAACCAUGUUGAAAUCUCCACCAGUUAACCAAUUUGUUUGGCAAGCUUGAUAGAAAGCCAUUUUAUGCUAAUAGCAGUACUUCAUAUGGAUUAUAGCAGUACUUCACACGGGUGCACUUGCUGAUCCAAACUUUUUUUUUAAAAAAAAAAUGGACCUUAACGUUUUAACAAUGUAGCUACUACAAAUUUGAUAAUAUAAGUUGAGACUUAAAUUAUUAUUGUUUAAUGUUUAAAGAUUAAUGUGGUUUCAUUUUAGUUAUCAUUUUAAUUGUUUGUUUUUGUUUUCUAUUUUUUAAAUGUUGUUGUUAAAUUUUUAUUUAUUAAAAAUAAAAAUCAUAUAUGUAUGAUAGAUGAUUUUGUUUUUUCUUUUAAUAUAUAUAUAUAUUUUUUUUAAAAAAUCUCUCUUUUUUUUUUUAAUUUUCAAUUUUCUUCCGAAAUUUAAAAGACAAAAAAUAUAAACUAGUUAGCAACAUACUUAAUUUGAAGGGGCACUUGCAAAAAUGGCAAAAUAAGUUAUAAUAAUUAAGUCCAUAUCACACACAUUUUAUUAUUUGCGAAAAUGGCAAAAACGAAACUCAACCCACACAUUAAGAAGUAAAAUGUCACAAAUGCCAUCGUUACUAAUAUACGUUUGAUACACCUUAUAAAUGUCUGAUACAUCUAAUACACCAGUUGAUACUUCUUGAUACACCUGAUACUUCUUCAUACACCCGAUAAAUUUAAUUGAUACACUUGAUGCACCUGAUACUAUUUGAUACACCCGAUACCGAAACAUUACUAAUAUAUGUUCGAUACACCUGAUACACGGCAGGUACAUUUUAUAUUCUUCACUUAUAUAAUCGAUUGAUUAAAUGCACUUGAUAUGCUUGAAGUCCUAUUUAUAUAUUUGAUAUACUAUUGACAUACACUUGUAACAUCGAUUCAUAUACUUGAUGAUGAUUCACUUUAUUGAUAUUCCUUAACAAUAUAUUGUUGAUAUACUUGAUAAUAAUACAGUGAGUUACAUCAUUCAUAUACUUAAUAAAACUCUAAUGAACUGCAUAAAAUUUGAAAAAACAAAAAACACGUAGUAAGUAUAUUAACCAACUAAUACAUAUAAUAUAAGUAUAUCACAACAUUGAUAUACGAAACUAAGACAAAGUAAAACCAAUAAAAUAAUGUAAAAAACAAAACAAGCUCAUUUGGAAUUAGAUUUAACUCAAAAUACACAUCGAAGAAAGUAAAAAAAAAAAACCACAAAUGAAUUUAAAUUACUCCGAUCAACCAUCAUUAUAUUAUAUUUCAUAUUGCAAUUAUUGUACUAUUGAUAUUUUAAAAUUAAGAUUAAAACAUAAAGAACAAAUAAUUUUUCUAGUAUAAGAAUAAAUAAAUAACUAGGGUCUUAAAAAGUGGGAGCAUAAAUAAAUAAUGAGUAGGGCAUUAAAAAAAAGGAAGAAAAAUAACUUAUUUAUGGGUAGUUUAGGAAUAAUAUCAAAUUUAAAAUGGAGAAGUGAAAUUUUUGCCAUAUUUGAAAAUUCUAAAGCAAUGUGCUAUAAUUGUUAUAUCAUAUUCUCAAAAUUAUGCAAUUUUCCUACUUUUAAAUUAUUAACUUUUUUUUGAAAAAAAUUAGAGUUACGAAAGAGAGUUAUUCUUUUUCUUUUGUUUUUAAGAUAGUUGUAAAUUUAGUUAUUAGAUUUAAUUAAAUAUAUAGCAAAAUUUUAAAUAUAGAAGUUUAUUUCCGAUAGACUAUGUUUACCACACGAGUCUAUCAACGAUAAAGUUAUAGUGAUAGUUUUGCUAUAUUUGUAAUUUUUUAUUUCUAAAAUGGCCAUUAAUUACAAUUUUUUUUUUCUUUUGGUAUUAAAUGGAUUGUUUGUUUGUAGGUCCACACCCGAACACUACAGAAGAGAUUAUAAAAGCUGUUAAUUUAUAUCAAGCUGCUUUCAAAGGUGAUUGGAAAGCUGCCCAAAGUAUAUUUGACGAUCAUCCUCCGUCAUGGAUCUCUAAGGAGAUAACAUCAAAAGGGAAUACGGCCCUCCAUAUUGCUGCUGCUGCGAAACAUAUUUCUUUUGUUGAAAAGUUGAUUAAACUAUACUCUCAUCAUCAAUUGGACUUAGCUAGACCAAAUGGAGCUGGAUGUACUGCCCUUUCUUAUGCUGCUGUAUCAGGAGUUGUAAGCAUCGCUGAAGCAAUGGUUCUCCAGAAUAACAUACUUCCAGAUAUUCCUGAUCAUAAAGGACGCAUCCCAGUCCUCAAAGCUGUAAUUUACAAACGCAAAGACAUGGCUUUCUAUCUUUACCAUCAGACUAAUUUUGAAGGUCUAGAAAACAAUCAGCAAUUUGAUCUUCUCCUAGCUACAAUCGACAGUGAUUAUUAUGGUUUUGCUUCCAAAUCCCUCAUUUGAUAAGUAAUAAUAAUCUUUAAUUAAUACUAUAAAUUCAAUGUUCUUAAUUACUCUUCAUUUUUCUUUUAUUGUAGAUAUAGCAUUAGAUAUUCUGAACAAGAAACCAACAUUAGCAAAGGAGAGCGUGGAAGAAACUGGUGAAACAGCUUUGCAUUUACUAGCUAGAAAGGCAAAUGCAAUUGGUAGCAGCGACAAACUUUGCUUCUGGAAAAGACAUAUAAACUCUCGUAAUUAAAUACAUAUCCAAUAUCAUUGCUUUCUCAUUAGUUAUAUGAUUUUACAUAUGUUCAUGUGAUUUAAUUAAUUUUGUAGGCUUCAAUAGAAUUUACAAAACAGCUGUAAUGCAAACAUUAGCCCAUCAAGUUGUUGACCGUCUAUGGAAUUUUUUCAUUGGGAACCUUUCAACACUCGAGAUGAAUGAGGACUUCCUGAAAACUCUCUCAGUUUUAUUGAAAGAUGCAGCAAGAGUUGGAAAUGUUGAGUUCUUGAUAAUACUCAUUCGCUCCUAUCCCGAUUUGAUAUGGAUAUCUGACGAAAACAACAAAAGCAUAUUUCAUGUAGCAGUUGAAAACCGACAAGAAAAUGUGUUUAGUCUUAUAAAUAAUAUAGGAGGGGUGAAGGAUUUCCUUGUCGAUGGUUACAAUGAAGAGAAUAGCUGUAACAUUCUACACUUAGCUGGAAAAUUAGCAUCUCCAUAUCACCUAAACAGAGUGUCAGGCACAGCUCUACAAAUGCAACGGGAGCUUCAAUGGUUUAAGGUAAGUCAUUCUUCAUGCAUAAAUUUAAAUUGUUCUUUUUUAACAUUAUGUAAUUGGGAGCAUUCUCCCCUACAUACAAGUUUUUAACUGCUCUACUUAAUUAACUUUUAAGGAAGUGGAGAAAAUCGUUACCCCAUUCCAUCAUGAAAUGAGGAUGAAAGAAAACUAUGGUGAUCAUGAUUACCCAACACCUCGUGAACUCUUAACAAAAGAGCACGAAAAACUUCGGAAAGACGGGGAAGGAUGGAUUAAAACCAUGGCAGGCUCGUGCAUGCUGGUGGCAACUCUAGUCGACACUGUGGUUUUCGCAGCGGCAUUUACGGUUCCAGGAGGCAACAAUGAUAAGAAUGGCAUUCCUAUUUUGCGAAAGGAUAAGAAAUUUGAACUGUUCAUAAUAGCAGAUUUUGUCGCUAUGGUGAUGUCUACAACUUCUAUACUCACCUUUUUGUCAAUUUUAAUAUCGCGCUAUGCGGAAGAAGAUUUUUUGGUGUCGUUGCCGAUCAAAUUAUUGUUAGGAUUGGUGACAUUGCUUGUUUCUAUAGCAUGCAUGGUGGUGGCUUUCUGUGCAACCUUCUUUCUUUCGUAUCAGGAAACAAAGUGGAAGAAUUAUCAAGUCGUCAUUGGAGCAAUGGCCAAUCUUCCAAUUGCCGGUGUUUUCUUGUUCCACUUAAAACUCAUGGUGGAUAUAUUGAUCAGUUCAACUUUUUGGCAACGACGUUCUUUGAGAAUAAGCAAGAGAAGUCUUUUUUAGUGCGCAAUUACACAAAUGGGCAUCUACCCAACUUCGUUGUUCUUCUAGGGUGUUGAGGUAAACCAUUAGCUAUUUCACCCAUUGAGGGUCUAAUAUUGUUGUUUUUGAUAUUGUUGCUUACCAUCAAGUUGUACUAAUUGCGCUAUUUACAACUUCUUGUUCUCUCUUUUUUCCUUUUUUUUGAGUGAAUUUGUGUAAGACUCAUUUUUUACGAUCUUCUGGCAUAUUUUGGUUUAAAUAAGUGUUUUAUAGAUAAUUUUAUUGAUUUUGGUUUAAAUAAGUGUUUUAUAGAUAAUUUUAUUGAUUUUUUUAACAAUAUAAUAGUAGAAAGAGAGUUGAGAUCUGAAGGUAUGUAACACUCCAAGUUUAGAAGGGAAACAUGAAUGAAACGAUGUCACAUCUGAAUAAGAGAGGUCUAAAGAACAUGAAGACAUGCAAAAAGAACUCGUACACUAGAAGAAAUCAAGCCUUUAAUGUCAUGUUAGAAAAAAUAAAAACAUGGGUUUUAAUGUCGUUUUUCAAAAGGCUAAUGUUUAAUAUCGGUUUUAAACCGACAUUAAAGAUGACGGUUUAAUGUCGUCCUCCUUUUGAAAAAUAACAUUAAAGCACAUUUUUUAUUUUUUAUUUUUUAUUUUUAUAUUUUUUAAAAAGUUAAUGGUUUCUCUCUCAUACUUUACUCCUCUCUCCAAGCACACGAUUUUCAGUUGUCGUGCGAGAAUCCCUCAAGCCAGUCCCUCGUGCCCAGUAAUCGUCGUGCUUCCGCUGCAAGAAUCCCUCUUGCCUAGUCAUCAAAUCCACCACCAUCAUGAGCCCAAACGUUUUCUUGAAAAGCUUUUGUAGAAAGGAAAAUAUAUAUAUAGAUGGGGGAGUUGUUACAGCUUUAGAUGGUGAGAACUUUGAAGGAUGAUCUGUUGCUAUUUUAAUGUCAAUUGGAAAAACAAUGUUUGCUUAUGUUGCUUUGCAGAUUUGAAGAAGUUAAUUGGACAUUUGAAGGAGAUAUUUGAAGAGAUACAAAUAUGGGCUUUUACCUUGGUUUAUUUACAACUUUUCCCUAUUUGUUUUCCAUUUUCAAAACUCGAUCCAUAUAUUUCAUACAUGUCUUUUAUUUACAACUUCAGAAAAAUGGUCGAAUACUUCAUUCACUACCUGAAUGUUUUGCUUAUUGCUUUUCCCCCCAUUUUCUCAGGUUUUCUUUUCUCAUCCAACUCAGUUUUCCCUACCACUUCACAAUUCUUUCCUUCAUAAUUAUUAAUCAUUUUAGUUCCCUUUGAUCGUUUUAUAAAUUGGUUUGACUCUUCCUCUAGCUAAAUCUUUUUUUAAGCGUCACUUUUGAAAUGAACUUAAAAAAUUAUCUUCCAAGAGUUACAUAUUUGAGUUAUGUGAUACAGGGGCUUCUAAACAUGCAUCAACAAUUUUAAAGAUGAAAUAUAUAUCUACUUUUAGCCCUUCAUCUUUGAUAAUACCUAGAAAUUCUUUUAAAUAUCUUUCUCAGUUAUCAGUUUAUAGGUGUGAUUUGCAGGAAUUUUUCUGUAAUGUCCCCAAACUUUUUUAAUUAAGUUAAGGUCAUUAUUAACCAGAUAAAUAUCAAAAGACACUUUCUCACAAAGAGGAAAAUUAAAUAUUUUAUAAAAAUUUAAUCUCAAAUAAUUGUUUGAAAACAUAAAAUCGACAAAACCAAUAAAAAUAAUUUUAAAGUGCGACCUGCGGGUACUAACAUUUUAAAGAAAAUGAGAAUGAAUAAAUAAGAGGUCUUUAAAUAAAAUGUCUAAAAUUUAAAAUACUAAAAAAACAUGUAAAUAGACAUGGAAGCAAAACUAAAUCCUCCAUAUAGCAUGUCACGCAUUCUUCCUAUCGCUCGCCAACUUUUCAGAUCCUCUACCUUUGUCUGAAAUAUUAAACAUAGGAAAUAGUGAGUAUAUAAAAUAUAUCUAGUAAGGGAUAAACUACUAGUCCCGCUAGGUGAUAUGUUAACUUUCCGUUAAGAAUAUAGUAAUAGUGUUGUGUGUCCAAUGGAGCACACCUCGGCGAGUGAGAUCAAACAACACUCUUAAUCAUGUGAGUGAUUCUCAAGUAACACCACUAGUCGUGCGACUCAUUGUAGAUACACACUGAGUGAGACCGUACAACCACCCCUAAUCGUGCGAGUGACCAAUAGGAACACCCCUAGUCGUGCAAGUGAUUUAGAUACACAUUCCUAAACAUGUCUGUGAUACAUAAAUACACUCCUAAUAGUGCGAGCAAUUCCAAAGGAACACCCCUAAGUUGCGUGAAUGACCUCGUAUAUAUACACAAUAAAAUUGUCCCCUAACCAUGCAUGUGAUCCAUAGGUACACCCUUAAAUCGUGCAAGCGAUCUUGAAGAGACACCCCUAGUCGUGCGAGUGACCGCAUAGAUAGAAUCACAAUACAGGUGAAGUAAAAGCUCAACAAACAAAGUGAAUAGACACAUCAUAGUCCAAGGCAUGUAACAUAUCAUAAUCAGCAUAAACAUGACAUGAAUAUUAAUCAUAAUGUCCUUAAUCAUGUGAUUAAAUAUAAUAUAUCAUGCAUCAUAACAUAUCAGUCAUAAUAUAUCAGUCAUCUAUAUCAACCAUCCAUAUUAAUCGUCCAUAUUAGCCAUCUAUAUCACAUGCAAACUUAUAAAUUUUAUGUUUGAAGGUCCAAUAGUAGAAUCUCUUACCUCGAAAUUAGUUAAAUUAAUUUUUAAGUGGCAACCAAAGAAUUUUAAAUGAAUAUGUCCUAAACAUUAGAGGAAAAAAUUCAAAUAACUUAAUUAAUCUAUAAAAUAAACUGUGGUUAAUAAAAAGUAUGUAACUUCAUUUAACAAGAAAUUCUUUUUUUUAUCUAAGAAUAUACAGUAGAUAAGAGUAACUAUGGUGCAUCAUGUCAACUAAGUUGACAUCUUUUUAAAAAAACAAGGAGUAGAUAAUAGUUUGAGAUAGAAUGUGUUUUGGUUUUUGUUUUUUAAAAGUUUUCCUUUGGCCUGAAAAAGAGAUUUAGAGAUAAACUUUAUUUUUUACAAAUAGAAUUGGCCUUAAUUUAACUAUAAAUUCAAUGUUCUUAAUUACUCUUCAUUUUUCUUUUCUUGUAGAUAUAGCAUUAGAUAUUCUGAACAGGAAACCUGAAUUAGCAAAGGAGAGGGUGGAAGAAAAUGGUGAAAGUGAAACAGCUUGGCAUUUACUAGCUAGAAAGCCAAAUGCAAUUGGUAGCAGCGACAAGUUUUGCUUCUGGAAAAGAUAUAUAAACUUUCGUAAUUAAAUACAUAUUCAAUACCAUUGCUUUCUCAUUAGUUAUAUGAUUUUAUAUAUGUUUAUGUGAUUUAAUUAAUUUUGUAGGCUUCAAUAGAAUUAGCAAAACAGCUGUAAUGCAAACAUUAGCCCAUGAAGUUGUUAAUUUUGCGAUUGGGGACCUUUCAACAUUCGAGUUAGAUGAGACGUUCAAAGAAACUUUCUCCAUUUUAUUGAACGAUGCAGCAGGAGUUGGAAAUGUUGAGUUCUUGAUAAUACUCAUUCGCUCCUAUCCCUAUUUGAUAUGGAUAGUUGACAAAGACAACAAAAGCAUAUUUCAUGUAGCAGUUGAAAAUCGACAAGAAAAUGUGUUUAGUCUUAUACAUGAUAUGGGAGGGGUGAAGGAUUUCCUUGUCAAUUGUUACAAUGUAACCAAUAAAUGUAACAUUCUACACUUAGCUGGAAAAUUGGCAUCUCCAUAUCAUCUAAGCAGAGUGUCAGGCGCAGCUCUACAAAUGCAACGGGAGCUUCAGUGGUUUAAGGGUAAGUCAUUCUUCAUGCAUAAAUUUAAAUUAUUAUUUUUUUAACAAUAUGUAAUUGGGAGCAUUCUAAGCUACAUACAAGUUUUUAAAAUGCUCUUCUUAAUUAACUUUAAGAAAGUGGAGAAAAUCGCUACCCCAUCCCAUCAAGAAAUGAAGAUGAAAGAAAACAACGAUGAUCAUGAUGGCCUAACACAUCGUCAACUCUUCACAAAAGAGCACGAAAAUCUACGGAAAGACGAGGAACAAUGGAUUAAAAACAUGGCAAGCUCGUGCAUGCUGGUGGCAACUCUAGUCGUGACAAUGGUUUUCGCAGCGUUAUAUACGCUUCCAGGAGGCAACAAUGACAAGGAUGGGAUUCCUAUUUUCGAAAAGGAUAAGAAAUUUGCAGUGUUCAUAAUAGCAGAUUUUGCCGCUCUGGUGAUGUCAACAACUUCUAUACUCACCUUUUUGUCAAUUUUGAUAUUGCGCUAUGCGGAAGAAGAUUUUUUUGGUGUUGUUGCCGAUCAAGUUAUUGUUCGGAUUGGUGACAUUGCUUCUUGUUAUAACAUGCAUGGUGGUGGCUUUCUGUGCAACCUUCUUUCUUUCGUAUAGUGAAACAAAGGGGAAGAUUGAUCAAUUUAUCAUUGGAGCGGUGGCCAUCCUUCCCAUUGCCGGUUUUUUCAGGCUUCACUUUACAUUCAUGGUGGAUAUAUUGCGUUCAACCUUUUGGCCACAUUAUUCUUUGAGAACAAGCAAGAAAAGGCUUUUUUUAGUGCGGAAUUACACGAAUGCGCAUCUAUCGAACUUCAUUGUUUUUCUGUCGAACUCUUUGAUGUUUUUCUAGGAUGUUAAAGAUAAACCAUUAGCUACGCCCAUUGAGGGUACAUCCGGGAUCUCUGAAUUAGGUUGAUAAACCGUAACACCUUCGAUCCGAUGAACAUAAAACAAUUAUUUUUAUUCGUUGGAAUAUAGUUACAUUCUGAUUUUCCUACUUUGUAGACAAAAGUAAAUUCAAAUUAAAUUUGGAAAUUUUUUAGGUGGAAAGAUUUCAUUAUAAGAACAACCAGAAAAAGGAAAUAAUAUACAUUUUUUGGUUCUUGAGUUUUGUAGGUAAAUUUGAUCCUGAAUGUUUCAAAUUCAGGUAUUUUAAUCUUUUGAAUAUUUAGGAAUAGGUUUAAAAUGUCACUCUACCAUUGUAUUUGGGUUUGAUCCACAUCUUGUUACUGUACUUUAGAUUAGGUUAGGUUGAAAGUUAGUUCUUCACACUUACUCUUCCAAGUAUCUCCCUCAUUUUACAAGAUCUUCAAAAUUUUAUUUGUCGAGUCUCUAAACUAUCCUAAACUGUUCUUUCUUUUCUCUCUCUCUCUAUGGAUGAUCCAACCGUUUACUACCAAUAAGUACCUGAAUUUUAAUCCAUAAACUUUGAUGUUUUCAAACAUUUGUUAAAAUUCAUAGAUCUAUUAUUAUUAUUAUUUUUUAAAAGAUAUGAUAUGGGUCCGUAGCUGCAUCGAAACAUCUCCACUAGGUGGACACUUCCAUAAAAGUUUAGAUCUACUAUAAACACGUAAUAAAAAGUUUAGAUCUCUUUUUUUUUUUUUGAAAGUUUAGAUCUCGUUCUUUAAAUACUGGUUUUGAAAAAGGAUACAUAAUUGAGGGGUGCACCUGAACAUCUUUACUAAGGGGACAUCUUCUUAACACCUCAACAUCUUCCAAAAGAUGCAUCAUUUAUAACAAUUUUGAUUCUAGUUUUUUAAAAAAAGAUACGUUGGGUCAGUAGGUGCAAUCGGACAUCUCCACUAGGUGGACACCUCCUUAGUACCCUCAUCAUCCCCGCUUUCAUUAAUAUAGGAAGAAUUAGUACAAUUACAGCAGGGGAUAAAAGCCAAACGACAGUGCGAAAAGCUAAAGGGCUAGAGCUAAGCCCACAACAAAAAGUUAGAAAACAUUUAAAUUGAUAGCGAUAGAGGAAGCACUAUAAUUUGCAAACAUAGAGUAUUUACUAGCCCACAGCUCCGAGAGAGAAAGGAUGUCUUCCUAGAGAUCAAUGGUAGAUUUUAAUUCUAGUUUUAUGACUUUGAUAUAUAUGUUUGUUUUCCUCCCACAUUUUCCAUUAUGGUUUACGCUUGGAUUAAGGUUGGAUAAAUAAAUAAGGGGCACUUGCAACAAUGGCAAAAUAAGUUGUAAUAAUUAAGUCCAUAGCAUACACAUUUUAUUAUUUACAAAAAUGGCAAAAAUGAAGCCCAACCCACACAUCAAGAGGUAAAAUGUCACAAAUGCCCUCAUUACUAAUAUACGUUUGAUACAUCUUAUACACGUCAGAUACACCUAGUACACCCUUUGAUACACCCGAUAUAUUUAAUUGAUACACUUGAUGCACCUGAUACUCUUUGAUUCACUCGAUAUCGAAACAUACUAAUAUAUGUUUGAUACACAUGAUAUACUGCAUAUACAUUUAGUAUUAUUCACUUAUACAAUUGAUUGAUUAAAUACAUUUGAUAUGCUUGAAGUCCUACAUAUACACUUGAUAUACUAUUGAUAUGCACUUGUAAACUCGAUUCAUAUACUCGAUAACGAUACAUUGAGUUACAUCAUUUAUAUACUUAAUAAUACUCUAAUGAACUACAUAAAAUUUGAAAAAAUGAAAAUCACGUAGUAAGUAUAUUAAUCAACUAAUACAUAUAAUAUAAGUAUAUCACAACAUUGACAUACGAAACUGAGACAAAGUAAAACCAAAAAAUUAAUGUAAAAAAAUAAAACAAAAUCAUUUGGAAUCAAAUUCAACUCAAAAUACAUAUCGAAGAAAAUAAAAAAAAAUAUCACAAAUGAAGUUAAAUUACUCCGAUAAACAACCAUUAUAUUAUAUUUCAUAUUACAAUUAUUGUACUAUUGAUAUUUUAAAAUUAAGAUUAAGACAGAAAAAAUAAAUAAAUUUUUUAGUAUAAGAAUAAACAAAUAAUUAGAGUCUUAAAGAGUGGAAGCAUAAAUAAAUAAUGAGUAGGACAUUAAAAAGAGGAUGAGAAAUAAGUUAUUGAACGGUAGUUUAGGAAUAAUAUUAGAUUUAAGAUGGAGAAGUGAAAAUUUUGCCAUAUUUGGAAAAUUCUAAAACAAGAUGCUAUAAUUACUAUAUCAUAUUCUCAAAAUGUUAUCCUAUCCAAUUUCUCAAUAAAUAAAUUACAAGCAUAUUUUUAUGAUCGGGACUUUUAAAGUGUGUUUGACUUUGAGUAAUCUUAUAUUCUUGCAUUGGAUGAUUUUUUUUUUUACUUAAUUAUGGAUAGAACUAGUGUUUAAAAUCUUCUGUUUCAAACUAUCAAUAUGGAAGACCGAAAUCAUGGUAUAAAAACAAAUUGAAAUAAGGGCUAAAGAGAAGCCUAUAGUACAAUAAACAUAAGAGAGUUAAGAGAAGACACUAAUAUUUAGGGCUACGGUUAUAGCAUAAUAACCCGAGAAUAGUCGGUGUCUAGAGGACCAAUGACCGAUCAACUUGUAAAUGUCCUCCCAGAUGUUGAUGUUGGUGGUAUAUUUAUUAUUAAAAAUCUCAUUGUUCCACUCAAGCCAAGUAGUCCACAAGGUAGCCACCACAACAUUGAAUUGAAUGAUGCCUUUUCUAUUCUUUAGUGUUGAUGGAGCAAAUAUCUUCACACAUAGAGAGGCAGUUUUAGUUUGAUUAUUGUUGAACCAGCAGCCGAUGAUGUCAUGAAUCUUUUCUCAAAAGAUUUAGGAGGUGUGACGAAAGAGGAAAGAGAUGCUUAGUGUCGUCUCCAUGCAUUUUAGCUUUCUUGCAAUCAAAAUGAAUCUCAAACUGCCCCUGCCUCGGUAAAAAUUAUUUUGUUUGAGAAAUUAGUGUGUUCCCUGAGUUCAAUCGACUUGGAUUUACCACUAAAACUAGUGUUUUGGUAUGUAUUUUUGGUAAUUUAUUUGACAUAGAUAUGGGCGACGAAAUUCAUUUGUCAAAUGUAUAGCGACAUUUUUAAAAAAUUACAAAUAUAAAUGAUAGACUUCUAUUGUUGAUAAACUCUUAUGGUCAAUCAGUGUAGAUCAAUAUUUUCAACAUGGUCUAUAAGUGGUAAACUUUGACAAAAAAUUUCUAUAUUUGCAAUUUCUUAAAAAAUAUUGUUAUAUAUGGAAAUAUUUUGAAUCUAAUUGCUAUAUUUGCAACCAUCUCAAAAUUAUGAGACGAUGCUUGGCAAAGAAGAAAACACGAGGCAACUGGAAUUUAGGUUUGACCCAUUAUUAUAUUAGUGCACUACUAGAAAAUGGUUUUUAACGAUGCAAAAUUUGUGUCAUAAAGAGUUUCAAGGACGCAAUUUUUGCGUCAUUCAAAUCCUUGUCAAGAUAGGAUAUUUAAAACACUUUGGGCAAAAUUCGUGAGGGUUAUGAUGGUUGUGAGUUAGCGAGCAUAUCGUAUGAAGGAAGGGGGAAAUUUUUUGGAAUAAGGGUUCUUUUAUUUGGAAUUUUUUUUUAAUGACACAAAAUUAUGUCAUUAAUUAAUGAUGCGAAAAUUACGUCAAGAAAUAUAUAAAUCCAAAAUUCGCGUUUUUUCCUACCAGAAUUCUGCACAUUUUUAAUUUUUAAUUACACAUUUUACUCCAUCCAUAACUUUUUUGUUGAUUUCAAGUGUUAUUGUAUCCCAAAUUUGUAGUAGUGGUGUUGCAUAUAUUAUAUAUGAGAAAAUUAUAGUAAAUAAAAACAAUUAAAAAUAUAGCACUAGGAUAAAAUAAAUGCAAAAAUUGAAAAAAGUAGAAAAAAAAAUUAAAAUGUCAAGUUUGUCAUUAUGUGGCUAUCAUUGAUAAAAGUUAUCACUAAUAGCCGCUAUCAAUGGUAGCAACCGAUGACACAUUUUUCAACUUGAAAGCUAUUAGUGGUAACAGCUAUUAGUGAUGGCAACUAUGCUGUGAUGGCAAUUUUGACAAACUGGGAAGAAACUUUUGAAAUAGUAGCUGGUCGUGGGCGUUUUAAUCUUUUACCAUUUUUUUCUAUAUAUGCAAAUAUUUUAUCCUUGUGUUGUAUAUAUAUAUAUUGAAAAAGAUAUGUGGAUCAGUAGGUGCACCCGGAUAUCUCCACUAGAUGGACACAUCCUUAUCACCUUUAUCAUCAUCGCUUCAUUAAUAAUAUAAAAGGAAGCAAGAGAUGGAAAAACAAAAGGAGGACUAGAGUUAAGCCCCAUACAAUCAACUUAAAGGCAUUUAAAUUUAAAGCAAUUGUACCCAUCAUACCAGCACACAUAUAUAUGUUGGGUGCGAUCAUACCAGCACUAAUACACCAGAUCCCAUCAGAACUCCACAGUUAAGCAUACUUGGGUGAGAGUAGUACUAAGUUGGAUGACCACUUGAAAAAUCCUCGUGUUGCACCUCUUUUUAAAAAAACAAUUGUACUAGCCCAAAAACCUAAACGAGCACAAAUGCCUUCCCAGAGAUUAAUAAUUGAUAUUUUCCUUUCCUGGAAGAUAUGGUUAUUUCUCUCGAACCAUAACGACCAUAACACUAAUGAAAUAGUGUUGAAUUUGAUGAUGUCCGUCCUGUUAUUUAUAUUUGUACAAGAAAGCUCAGAACAAAGGGAUGAAAGGCUGUGAUGCCGAUUUUUCCAAUUAAUGAAAAUUUCCACUUUGACCCAUAUCUUUGUGCUAUAUAUAUAUAUAUAUGUAUUUUUCUUUUCUUUUCUUUUCUUUUUGUUUAAAUUGGCAUUUAUACAAUAUAUGUGUGUUAAAUGGAAGGAAAAUUUUUUAGUCCAACUUUUUGCCAAAAUGAAGAAGAAAAAGUCGUGCAUCUAGAAUUUUUCUGUUUUUAUUUCUUCAGUAUUAGCUAGUGUGACGGUGAGUGAUUGUUAUAAACACAGUGUGUAUUUUUCUUAUAGGGUUGUGUUGGGAAUUUAUCUUGUUUUAUUUCAAGUGAUCAAGUUCCACUCUUUAUUAUUUGUUAUUUUAUACGACUCUAAUAUGUGAACUAGAUCUUUGAGAUACUUCAAUUACAUAAAUAAAAACAUUCAUUUUAUUUCUACAUAAAGAAAAGUCUAAAGAAAGCAUGAGAUGUGGAGGCAAUCAAACACUACAUUCACAACGAAAAAAAAAGAAAGAAAAUUAAAAGACUCAGUAGUUGUAGAACUAUCAUUAAUAUAUAGAACAUUCACUGCCGGCCUGAUGUUGUGGGCAAAAGCUCGGUAGUGCAAGCCAUGAGGAGAGUCUGUGCAGACACAAAGCAAGCCAACAAAGGACCAUUGAUCACCAAAUGUCCUUCACUUUUCAGCAUAUUAACCAUUUCAUUCACUUUCACUUUCAGAUCAUCCAGUGGAGCUGUUAGAGAAGAGCCCGAGCUGGGAGGUAGUGCCUUUUUGUUUUCGGUUGGCAGUACGGCAGUGCAUGCCACGAGCAGAGUCUGUGCAGACUCAAAGCAACCCAACAAAGAACCUGUCGCCAAAUUAUCCUUUUUCCAGCACUCGCUUUUCACCUUCUUAAUUGUUUCCUCCGUUUUCAGUAUCAGAUCUUUUGUUGCUAGGCUGCUCGAACCCUUCACUUGUGAACUUUUGACGGAGUUGCUUUUCGAACAAAUAAGUUCAUCGUUAGAAAAAUUCUUGUUUCCUCUCAUGAUAUUGUGUGUUGUGCCUUAUCAUCAAACUCCAAAUCACAUCUACCUAUCUUUAUAUCAUUAUUGGUCGUCAUUGUCCAAACCUGUGCCAAAUAAACCUAACCUAUUUUUCACUAUUUUAAAAAACUUGAAUUGGUUUAUAUCAUGAUAUACGAUUAUAUUUAAAUGUUUUAUUUACUUAAUAUAAUUUUGCAUCUUAAAUAUAAAAUUUAAAUUUUAGAUACGGCAAAAAUAUAAAAUGUUACUUUUUAGAAUCUGCGUGGUUUGAAAUCGCAUUAUCUAAAAAUAAUUUUCAAAAUUAGAAUUUGAGAGGUCUCUGUCAAAUAUGAAUGAACUGUCAACCAAACAAACUUUAAAUUCUAUGAGUUAUUCCAAAAAAAAUGUUUAAAAUUUUAUACUAAUUCUUUCUAAUAUUAAUGAAAGUGGAAAUGAUGAGCAUGCAAAGGAAGCAUCCACUUAGUAGAGAUGUUCAAAUGCACCUGUUAACCCAAAGUAUCUCUUAACAAAAUGUUUGAAAUAAGAAGUUGGAAGUACAUGUUAGAAAUGGGGAAAGUAAAUUAUUGUUUGGUGAAAAAAGUAAAAAAUAAAAAUUAAUAAUUAGGUCCACGGUGUCACAUCUCGAAGACCACACCAAAAAAUGGAGUAAAAGACAGAAUGAAAGAAAAAGAAAAAAGAGGGAGAAGGAAGUCGAUGUCUUGGCUUCUCCAAGAAAGUAAAGUGACCAUAAAUAUAUUUAUAAAAAAGAAAAAAGAAAAGAAGAGGAAGAGAAAGAGAAAGAGAAGAUAAAGGAGAAGGGAAAAAGAAAAUGAGAGGGAGAGGGAGAGAUGGAGUUUAAUUUACGAAGGGAAAAAAAAGAAAAGGAGAGCCCACCUCUCCUCUGUUUGAUGGGAUUUAAGAUGCCUGACUGUAAUAUUCUUUUCUUUAGCUGUUUAUCUGGAGUUGUACCUUUUUUCUUGCAAUUGUCAUUGUUUACUUGCAGGCCAAUAAAGCAGCAUCAUCACAUGUCUUUGUUUUUGUUAUUGUUUGUGGGAAUCAUAUUACAUGUAGUGAAUUAGACUAGGAGGUACGUUUUUCACUCUAGAUUAGUUUUAUGGUCUUUUAAUUAUAUGAAGGGAGACCAUUAUAACGUGCUUAAGUGUUUCAUUUCAUUUAUUUGCCAGAUUUUAUGUUUUGAUGGUUGUAUUUGAGCAGAGUUCACAAGAUGGAAAUGCUGGAAAUGCAAAGAUUUUGGGGUAGAUUUUUGUUUAUAUAACUUGAACUCAUUGAGGAAAUGAUGGAAGUAGGUAACAAUAACAGUAACUCCCUUUAUAAUAUUUUGGGUCGUUGUUAAUUUGAACUCUUUUGUUUUCAAUCACAGUGUUGGUAUUGAAAAUGCGUCUCUCUCUUUAUAAUUUUGUGUGUUUAAAUGUAAAAAAUGUUAAGUUUAUAAUUAAGUUUACACAUUAAAUUAGAAAUUAUUUUUUUAACCAAUAAAAUAUUUUUAGCAACGUUUUAUGUAAGGUCAGUAUACCAAAGUUGAAAUGUAAAAAGUAUUUUGAAAUUUAAUUACCAUGACAUAAAUAUAAAUUUUUCUAACGCUUACUUUAUGUCACAAAAGAUGUAUUCAAAUACCAGAAACAAACAUUCAGCAACAAUUUAAAUGUUUAUAAAACUUUUCUUACAGAGACAAGUUUAUAACGCCUCUAUAUAUUGCCAUUAGUAGCCUAUAAAAUGUUCAUAGAGAUAUGUAGUUUUUCGUAACACACGAGUUAGUAAACACACGGUUUUAGUGGCACGCAAAAAUGUGUUACUGUAACUGUUCAUUGUGCGGAUACAGCGACGAACAUUUGAGCAUUGCUAAAGCUAUCAGCGUUUUGUUCGAUUUAUUUUUAAAGGAUAAAUGAGCCUGAAACAUAAAAGAAUCGAAAAGAAAUAUUUUAAUUUCAUCUAAUUAACGUGAAAUGAAACUUAAGUCGAAUAAAAAAUAAAAAAAUAAGAACCCUAACUUUUUAAUUCAAAGUUCUCCUUCGAUUCUUGAUCAUUUUCGCCGAAUCCGAACUGUAGACGAAUAUACGAGAGUGUUCUCAACACAAUUUUGGGAUCAAAUUGGUUCUAUUAUGUGUUUUUUUUAGAGAACUCGAAAUUAUUACGAACACUUCAUUAUUUUCUUAAAAAAUUCUCCAUAAACCACCACCGAAUAUUCAAUUAAUUUGAGUAAUAUAUACACAUUGACACUACUUUACUUGCUUGAAAUGAAGUGAAAAGUGUGGUUGAAUGGUAUUACAUGCAAGUAGCUUACUUAAAAGUUACUUUGCAAUUUCAAAUUUCAAAUAUAUUUGAUUUUGAUUUUUAAAUUGAAAUUCAUUUCACUUUUAUUUGAUUUUCUAAAAUAUAAUUAGUUUAUUAUUUUAAUAUUAAUUAAUCUAAUUAAUUAUUAAUAAUAAAAUAAUUAUUGGAUUGAUCGCCAAUUCGAAUCUCUUUUCUUCAUAUUUAAAUCUUAUUUAAAUAUCACUCAUUUCUCAAAAACACGUUAAUUAAAUCAAUUUCGCCAUUGAAGGUGGUAUUUGACGCAAAAUGGGUAAUAAUUUGGAUUUGGCCGCAGGAAGUUUGGCAUUUGGUGGAUUGAUUUGGGGCUGUGAAAAGAAUAAGAGCGAGGAUUAAAACAGAGUAGCAAUUAGGGAGUGGCAUUUUUUUGGGAGAUGGGUUUGUGAUGAAGAAAAGAAAUGGAAAUUGAACCAUAAGGGAAAUUGUUGAAUGAGUAGAGAAGUGAAGUAAUAUUUAUCUUUUGCUUCAUUUUCUUUUGGUUCUGUGUUAUGAGACCUUUGCCGGGGAUUCAAGUGAUUCUUCUUGGCAAACUAGUGAAAUUAAUUCGUCUUAUUUCAUGAGAAAUAGUUUCAUUGCUGAGAAAAAUCCCCUGCAAGAACCCUCAAAUUUCAGAUGGAGAAUGUCGAACUCGGAGCUAACCCUUGAGAGCUAGGGACACUACCAAAAUCACUUCAAUUAUAUGAAAUAAUAACAAUAAUUCUAUUUCAACAAAACAAAAAGUACUUAAACCCUAAAGAGAUGCAUGAGAUGUGGAUGCAAUCAAAGAUUGCAUUUAUUAUAAUAUGAAAUUUCUACUUUUUAAUCUUAUUUUCCUCUACACUUCUAUCAGCAGCUUCAUUAGUAGUAGAACUGUCUUUAACAGAAACUUCACUGCGCUGGUGAUCUCCGGUUGAUGUGUAGAAAAGCUGGAUAGUACAAACCACGAGCAGGGUCUGUGCAGCCACAAAGCAAGCCAACAAAGGACUACUCACCAAAUUAUCCUUUCUACACCACACGCUUUUCAUCUUCUCAACAGUUUCCUCCAUUUUCACUAUCAGAUCAUCUGUUGCUUUGCCUUUGGAGCUCGAACCCUCCACUUUUAAGUUUUGAUUCUCGUUGCUUUUCUUAGAGACAGAAAUAAGUGGUUCGUUCAUCACAUCAAUAUUCCUAUUGCUCAUAUUGUGUUGUGCCUUAUCAUCAAACUCCUUAUCCCAUCUACUCAUAUUUAUACUACUAUAUAUAUAUACUAGUUAGAAUUAUCUCUAUUGCACGUUUGAUUAUUAUAGUUUUAUGCGUGUCAUUUUAUGAAGUAUUCUUAAUUCUGUUUGCUCAUUUUAUGAAUUUAAUCCUAUCUUUUUAUAUAUAUGACUUAAUAAUUCUAAAAAAGUCGGAUAACGUAA